AGAAUCCCCAACAUAUUGAUCGCAAGCAUAUAGCUUCAAUACUUUUGGUGAGUAAUCUUUAAUACUCCGUAAGAAUAUUACUUACCUUUAUAAUCUUGAUCGUUGUUGAUUCUCCCAUAUUUGUUGUAAACGGGUGUUUGGUCAACUUAUAUGUUCUUGAACAAUUCCCCCUCCAUGAUCUACCUUUUGAGGUCGAGUUAGACUUCAAAAGGUACAUUCUUUUUUUUAAUCAUGACAUUAAAGUUAGACUCAUCUUGAUUUUUCAUUUUUUUAUGGAACCUCAUUCUUUAUUAUCACUAAUCCUCAUUGCCUUUUUCUUUUGGAAGGUAAGGCGGACAAUUCGAUGAGUUUAGCCUUUUAAGGUUUGAAGCAUUAAUUGAACAUAUUGCACUUUUGAAAUUAUGAAUUCAAAAUAUAAAAGUAUUUCCAUGGAUUCUUUGUUUUAUCUUCUGUAGUGGUCCUUGCCUUAAAAAAAAAAAAAGCAAAGCAAAGCUAAUUUCUCGUACUUGCGCGGCCCAUAAAAUUUAGUAUGUAUUUUUUCACGUACAAAUUUGGUGUGCUGGAAUAUUUGAUCCAGUUGAACAGAUAAUAUUUAAAAUAUCUUGUGUUGUAGAAUUAUUCCUAAGUGGUUUCCAUGAGUAAUUUUCACCUCAAAGUUGCCAGUGAAUCUCAGGAACUAUUCGUAGCCGAGACUGAUGCAAGUUCGAUCACAGUAGAAUGGGCUAUGGCUGAGAUUCUUAAAGCUCCAGAGAUUAUAAUGAGAGUCCAAGCCGAGCUCGGAGAAGUCAUUGGAGAAGGCAACCCACUGGAGGAAGCUGACAUUGCCCGACUCCCUUACUUAUAGUGAAUUAUUAAAGAAACUUUCAGGGUGCACCUUGCAGGUCCUUUUUUGGUUCCUCGAGAAGCAGGGGAAGAUGUUGAGGUAUGCGGCUACACUGUCCCUAAAGGUUCAAAAUUGAUGGUUAAUGUGUGGGCAAUUGGUCGGGACUCAACCCUUUGGGAAGACCCUUUGGUGUUUAAUCCUGAUAGGUUUAUGGAUUCAAAAAUGGACGUGCGAGGUCAAGAUUUUGAGUUAAUUCCAUUUGGUGCUGGUCGAAGGAUUUGCCCUGGUCUGCCCUUGGCAGUAAGGAUGGUUCCAGUUAUGCUUGGCACACUGUUGAAUACAUUUAAAUGGAAAAUUGAGGGUGACGUUGCUCCAAAAGACUUGGACAUGCAGGAUAAAUUUGGCCUCACCUUGGCCAGACUUCGUCCUCUCCGAGCUGUCCCACUUCCCCUCUGAAAUCCAAAUUUAGAGGGCUUCCUAGAAAUGGCAGUAUGAUGAACAUUGCAGCUAAUAUUUCAUUUCCAUGAAAAUGAAAAAGAAAUAAAGAAUUUAGUUUAGUGAAGGAAAGUUUCUUCAAAAAAGAGAUCAGGAAGUAUUAUUUUACUUGAAGUUCAGAAAAUGCAAGGCAACGUGGAAAAGUUAAGUGAUCCACAACAUUUGAGAUGUAAAUUUUAUCCUUUCAUAAUCACCUUUGUUUGAUUUUAGUUGAAAAGAUUUCGUCUCGUGGUGCCUUGAUCCAUUAUUUUGGAUCAUAUAAUUAAUGUUAAAAUUGGUCUUGGACCAAACUCACACCCCAAAAGUUAGCUCAAGAGGGGGAGGAUUGCCCAAGCCUUAUAAGGAGACCACCCAUCUCAUUAACCACCAAUGUGGGACUUUUUCUUUCUUCUAACAUCCCCCUUACGCCCAGACCUUAAUUGGGUGUGGAAAAUCUCUCCCGAAUCUCAAUCCAGAGGUCUAGGCGUGGAAAAUCUCUCCCGAAUCUCAAUCCGGAAGCCCAACAUUGGGUGAGAUGGGUCUGGAUACCAUGUUAAAAUUGGUCUGGGGCCUAACUCACACCUCAAAAGCUAGCUCAAGAGGUGAGGAUUGUCCAACUUCAUAUAAGCAAACCACUAGUCCAUUCCCCAACCAAUGUGAGACUUUUACCCACUCUAACACCCCUUCUCACGCCCAGGCCCAACUGGCAGUGGCGCAUGAACCGGGAGCCCAAAACGGGGAUAGACAUAGCUCUAAUACCAUGUCAAGAAUGGACCUUGGGCCUUACUCAACCUCAAAAGCUAGCUCAAGAGGUGAGGAUUACCCAACUUCAUUUAAGCAAACCACUAGUUCAUUCCCCAACCAAUGUGAGACUUUUACCCACUCUAACACAAUUUUAACAAUUAAAGUAAUGCCUUCAGAAAUAUAUGAAACUUUAAGCGUACAUGAUAUCUAACAUCCUGUAUACGGCGUUUUUGGAAUGCCAACUCAUAUUCGAAUUUGAUUUACAUGUUUCCAAGCCAAGUGCUUACUUCUGUUGGCAACUCGAAAUGUUACCACUAAAUUGUAAAACAACACUAACAAUGUAAGAUUAAUCCAACAAGUGAAGUAUGGAGGGGUUGGUGUACUGCACACAACCUUACCUCUGGCAAGGCUAACUUUUUUCUCAACUUGUAUUUCCAGAUGCUUGGGGCUAAUGAAAAAAAUAACAAAUUGAUAGGACAUGAAGUAACCUAAGAAAAUUGAAGGAAAGGUGUCUUUUAAGUCUUGAAUGAAGUAUUGGUGACAUUGACCAAUAGAUAGGGUCAAACAUCAUUAGGAAACUUGAUUAAGUUAAUUGUGGACUAGAUUAAUAUUUUCAAAAAUUUUUAAUUUUUUCAAAAAUACAAAUCAACCCAACCCACACCCCUUUUCAAUCCUAAUCAACCACUCUCUCUCUCCAGCUUCUCCUAACCAACAGUUCUGCAAAAUUUCUUCCUUCAACCUCCGGCGAUAAAUAGUCGGGCGAGUUCCUUUUCGACUUUCAACCGUCAAUCAACGUGAAUACUUCUCCGACGACGACAACUUCGAGUUCUUCGUCCUCUCAUUUCCUUUUUCACAGGUAAAAAAUUAUGAAGAAACAGAGAAACUUUAGCCAACUACUCUUCUGGUAUUGAAAUGUGGACUGAAUAAAAUCUUAAUUUCUGGAAUUUCUGCAUUUCUUCUUCUCGUUGUCGUACUAUUAAUUCGAAUUUGUUGGUGAUUUUUUAUCACAGUUGAUGUUCUUAGUAUGUAUGUGUGUGUGUGAUAUAUUGGUGUUGUUGGGUUGAUUUGUUGUUUGUCUUGGUAGAAAUGGUAUUGCAACAGUUGAAACAUCUGAUGUAAUAGAUGAAACAUAUGAUGCAACAGAUAANNNNNNNNNNNNNNNNNNNNNNNNNNNNNNNNNNNNNNNNNNNNNNNNNNNNNNNNNNNNNNNNNNNNNNNNNNNNNNNNNNNNNNNNNNNNNNNNNNNNNNNNNNNNNNNNNNNNNNNNNNNNNNNNNNNNNNNNNNNNNNNNNNNNNNNNNNNNNNNNNNNNNNNNNNNNNNNNNNNNNNNNNNNNNNNNNNNNNNNNNNNNNNNNNNNNNNNNNNNNNNNNNNNNNNNNNNNNNNNNNNNNNNNNNNNNNNNNNNNNNNNNNNNNNNNNNNNNNNNNNNNNNNNNNNNNNNNNNNNNNNNNNNNNNNNNNNNNNNNNNNNNNNNNNNNNNNNNNNNNNNNNNNNNNNNNNNNNNNNNNNNNNNNNNNNNNNNNNNNNNNNNNNNNNNNNNNNNNNNNNNNNNNNNNNNNNNNNNNNNNNNNNNNNNNNNNNNNNNNNNNNNNNNNNNNNNNNNNNNNNNNNNNNNNNNNNNNNNNNNNNNNNNNNNNNNNNNNNNNNNNNNNNNNNNNNNNNNNNNNNNNNNNNNNNNNNNNNNNNNNNNNNNNNNNNNNNNNNNNNNNNNNNNNNNNNNNNNNNNNNNNNNNNNNNNNNNNNNNNNNNNNNNNNNNNNNNNNNNNNNNNNNNNNNNNNNNNNNNNNNNNNNNNNNNNNNNNNNNNNNNNNNNNNNNNNNNNNNNNNNNNNNNNNNNNNNNNNNNNNNNNNNNNNNNNNNNNNNNNNNNNNNNNNNNNNNNNNNNNNNNNNNNNNNNNNNNNNNNNNNNNNNNNNNNNNNNNNNNNNNNNNNNNNNNNNNNNNNNNNNNNNNNNNNNNNNNNNNNNNNNNNNNNNNNNNNNNNNNNNNNNNNNNNNNNNNNNNNNNNNNNNNNNNNNNNNNNNNNNNNNNNNNNNNNNNNNNNNNNNNNNNNNNNNNNNNNNNNNNNNNNNNNNNNNNNNNNNNNNNNNNNNNNNNNNNNNNNNNNNNNNNNNNNNNNNNNNNNNNNNNNNNNNNNNNNNNNNNNNNNNNNNNNNNNNNNNNNNNNNNNNNNNNNNNNNNNNNNNNNNNNNNNNNNNNNNNNNNNNNNNNNNNNNNNNNNNNNNNNNNNNNNNNNNNNNNNNNNNNNNNNNNNNNNNNNNNNNGGUUCAGGAGACCCCUACCUUUGUGUCUCUCUCCCACUUUUUAAUUUAAUGUAACUGAUUAUGUAUUAUUUAUUCCUUUAAUAUUGAUGUGGGUUGACCCACAUUGGUGACCUGAUCCAGUUUCCUACACCUUUAAAUAUGCAUGUGUUGGUGAAUUAUCCAUCCGUGGUUUGCAUGAUUAAUUUCUCUGAGUAAUUUUCACCUCAAGGUUCUCAGUGUAUUUCAGGACGUAUUUGUUGCUGGAACUGACACAAGUUCCAACGUAAUGGAGUGGGCUAUGGCUGAGAUUCUUAAAGCUCCAGAAGUUAUGAAGAAAGCCCAAGCCGAGCUCGCAGAAGUCAUCGGAGAAGGGAAGGCAAUAGAAGAAGCUGACAUACUCCGACUCCCAUACUUGCAGUGCAUUAUUAAAGAAACUUACAGGCUGCACCCUCCAGCUCCUUUUUUGGUUCCUCGAGAAGCAGGGGAAGAUGUUGAGGUAUGCGGCUACACUGUCCCUAAAGGUUCAAAAUUGAUGGUUAAUGUGUGGGCAAUUGGUCGGGACGCAACCCUUUGGGAAGACCCUUUGGUGUUUAAUCCUGAUAGGUUUAUGGAUUCAAAAAUGGACGUGCGAGGUCAAGAUUUUGAGUUAAUUCCAUUUGGUGCUGGUCGAAGGAUUUGCCCUGGUCUGCCCUUGGCAGUAAGGAUGGUUCCCGUUAUGCUUGGCACACUGUUGAAUACAUUUAAAUGGAAAAUUGAGGGUGACGUUGCUCCAAAAGACUUGGACAUGCAGGAUAAAUUUGGCCUCACCUUGGCCAGACUUCGUCCUCUCCGAGCUGUCCCACUUCCCCUCUGAAAUCCAAAUUUAGAGGGCUUCCUAGAAAUGGCAGUAUGAUGAACAUUGCAGCUAAUAUUUCAUUUCCAUGAAAAUGAAAAAGAAAUAAAGAAUUUAGUUUAGUGAAGGAAAGUUUCUUCAAAAAAGAGAUCAGGAAGUAUUAUUUUACUUGAAGUUCAGAAAAUGCAAGGCAACGUGGAAAAGUUAAGUGAUCCACAACAUUUGAGAUGUAAAUUUUAUCCUUUCAUAAUCACCUUUGUUUGAUUUUAGUUGAAAAGAUUUCGUCUCGUGGUGCCUUGAUCCAUUAUUUUGGAUCAUAUAAUUAAUGUUAAAAUUGGUCUUGGACCAAACUCACACCCCAAAAGUUAGCUCAAGAGGGGGAGGAUUGCCCAAGCCUUAUAAGGAGACCACCCAUCUCAUUAACCACCAAUGUGGGACUUUUUCUUUCUUCUAACAUCCCCCUUACGCCCAGACCUUAAUUGGGUGUGGAAAAUCUCUCCCGAAUCUCAAUCCAGAGGUCUAGGCGUGGAAAAUCUCUCCCGAAUCUCAAUCCGGAAGCCCAACAUUGGGUGAGAUGGGUCUGGAUACCAUGUUAAAAUUGGUCUGGGGCCUAACUCACACCUCAAAAGCUAGCUCAAGAGGUGAGGAUUGUCCAACUUCAUAUAAGCAAACCACUAGUCCAUUCCCCAACCAAUGUGAGACUUUUACCCACUCUAACACCCCUUCUCACGCCCAGGCCCAACUGGCAGUGGCGCAUGAACCGGGAGCCCAAAACGGGGAUAGACAUAGCUCUAAUACCAUGUCAAGAAUGGACCUUGGGCCUUACUCAACCUCAAAAGCUAGCUCAAGAGGUGAGGAUUACCCAACUUCAUUUAAGCAAACCACUAGUUCAUUCCCCAACCAAUGUGAGACUUUUACCCACUCUAACACAAUUUUAACAAUUAAAGUAAUGCCUUCAGAAAUAUAUGAAACUUUAAGCGUACAUGAUAUCUAACAUCCUGUAUACGGCGUUUUUGGAAUGCCAACUCAUAUUCGAAUUUGAUUUACAUGUUUCCAAGCCAAGUGCUUACUUCUGUUGGCAACUCGAAAUGUUACCACUAAAUUGUAAAACAACACUAACAAUGUAAGAUUAAUCCAACAAGUGAAGUAUGGAGGGGUUGGUGUACUGCACACAACCUUACCUCUGGCAAGGCUAACUUUUUUCUCAACUUGUAUUUCCAGAUGCUUGGGGCUAAUGAAAAAAAUAACAAAUUGAUAGGACAUGAAGUAACCUAAGAAAAUUGAAGGAAAGGUGUCUUUUAAGUCUUGAAUGAAGUAUUGGUGACAUUGACCAAUAGAUAGGGUCAAACAUCAUUAGGAAACUUGAUUAAGUUAAUUGUGGACUAGAUUAAUAUUUUCAAAAAUUUUUAAUUUUUUCAAAAAUACAAAUCAACCCAACCCACACCCCUUUUCAAUCCUAAUCAACCACUCUCUCUCUCCAGCUUCUCCUAACCAACAGUUCUGCAAAAUUUCUUCCUUCAACCUCCGGCGAUAAAUAGUCGGGCGAGUUCCUUUUCGACUUUCAACCGUCAAUCAACGUGAAUACUUCUCCGACGACGACAACUUCGAGUUCUUCGUCCUCUCAUUUCCUUUUUCACAGGUAAAAAAUUAUGAAGAAACAGAGAAACUUUAGCCAACUACUCUUCUGGUAUUGAAAUGUGGACUGAAUAAAAUCUUAAUUUCUGGAAUUUCUGCAUUUCUUCUUCUCGUUGUCGUACUAUUAAUUCGAAUUUGUUGGUGAUUUUUUAUCACAGUUGAUGUUCUUAGUAUGUAUGUGUGUGUGUGAUAUAUUGGUGUUGUUGGGUUGAUUUGUUGUUUGUCUUGGUAGAAAUGGUAUUGCAACAGUUGAAACAUCUGAUGUAAUAGAUGAAACAUAUGAUGCAACAGAUAAAAAUCUGAUGCAACAGAUUAAAAAUCUGAUGCAACUAUGAAAAUAUGAUUCAACAGGUGAACAAUCUAACAGAUCAUUCAUCUGUUGCGACAGACGACUCUUCUAUUUGGAAGAAAUCUAAAUAAUAUUGAUCCAAUAGAUAACUAAUUAGUGAUCUAUUUUUAUUUUUUCCAACAGUUUACUCUUCAUUUUAAAAUCUGAUGCAACAGAUUAAAAAUCUGAUGCAACUAUGAAAAUUUGAUGCAACAGGUGAACAAUCUAACAGAUCAUUCAUCUGUUGCGACAGACGACUUUUCUGUUUGGAAGAAAUCUAAACAAUAUUGAUCCAACAGAUAACUUAUUAGUGAUCUAUUUUUAUUCUUUCCAAUGGUUUACUCUUCAUUUUACAAUAGAUUAGGACUGUUUUAUUCUUUCCAACGAUUUACUCAUACAGGUUGGUUAUCUAUUGCAACAGAUAACAUACCUGGUGCAACAAAUUAAUGAUCCAUUUUUAUUCUUUCCAGCGCUUUACUCAUACGUUGCAAAAGGUCGGUUAUAUGUUGCAACAGAUAAAAUACCUGGUGCAACAGAUUAGUGAUCUAUUUUUAUUAUUUCCAACGGAUUACUCAUCCGUUGCAACGGGUCAGUUAUGUGUUGCAUCAGAUAAAAUACCAAGUGCAAUAGAUAGUACUGUUUUUAUUAUUCCUACAUAUUACUCAUCCAUUGCAACAGUCGAUUAUAUGUUGCAACAGAUAACAUACCUGGUGCAACAGAUUAGUUGUCUGUUGGAACUGUUAUAUUACUGUUAUGCAUUGAUCAAUUAUAAUCUAUGUUAUGUUCCUGUUAAUUUAAGAUAACAUGGCUCCCAAAAUAAAAGAAAUCGAAUCAAGUCCAAGUAAAGGAACAAGUGCAGCAGCUCAGCUACAUCCACCACUCUAUGAGCUUGCUUUACAAGCGUUAUCCCAAUCAGGAGCAAAAGAUAAUGAAUAUAGGGAGGAGGAAUCUUUCAAAAGAGAUGAUCCAAAUGCCAAUAGCCCUUCCACCGAAGAGUUGGUCAAAACCUUCAGCAUUGAUCGUUACCCUGUGAGAAUGUAGUAUGAUGGUGACACAGAUUUAACGGGUGAUCUCGUGGUUAAGUCAGUCAUGGAAAAAUCUUUCGACGCCUUCAAAAAAAUACUUCGAGAACAAAAAUUGGAUUCUUAUUUCAGGGAAAGCUGCUUUGNNNNNNNNNNNNNNNNNNNNNNNNNGACUAAAAUGUUAUCCUCCUUCUCCUUCUCAAGUUAUACCUACUCUGACCCAAAAAAAGCACCCCGCAUACCCAAAAAAAGGAAAAGGCAAGUUGAGUGAUCGUGAUGACCUGGUGUCCAUUGUUGGUCCAAGCUUCAAAAAUAAAAAUCUGAUUGAAGCAUUGAAAGGUAAAGGACUUUCAAAGAAGCACAAGCAAUCAUUGUGCUUGGUUUGGUUUGUACAUAAUGUUCUUUGGGCGAGAGAUGUUAACAACAACAUAGGCCUCGGUUUAAUAAAUCUCUCAGAGGAUCUUGAGGCAUUUAACAGCUAUCCUUGGGGUUAUGAAAGCUUCAAAAUGACUGUCGAAUAUUUGUUGACUCCGUUAAUGCCAAAAACAGUCAACUUAUAUGGUUUUCCAUGGGCCUUCAUGGUAAAUAUUUUUUUUUAUCAUGAUAUGAUUCAUCAUUUUUUAUUUAAUAAUGCUUUUGAUUUAUUGGCGUUAUGUUAUAGGCUUGGGCAUUUAAAGUCAUUCCUUAUUUGAGACAACAAGUGAACUACCAGGAAGAAGUUUCCUAUCUAAGAAUUCUGAGAUUGUUUUCGGCCAAAAUCGAUAAAAAUGCAAAAUUUCUUGAUCUUUUGUGACUUCAUAUCACCAACUUCUUGGUCUAAUCUCAUUACCAAUUGGUCAUGACACCGAUACUUUAACUUAUACUACUACCCGGGUGGAAAUACAGUUCCAAUAUCCUGCUACACCUCAUUCCUUCUUAAGCGUGACAUCUGCAAUAAUAUUUUUUUUUGAAAAGGACUGAUACCCUUAAUACCACAGGCUGAAAAGCAUGAUUUCAUCAUAAUCAAAGUUCACAUUAGAAUCAAUACACUCUAAGGCACUAACGGACUCUUGACAGGUCCUUGCACAAUUUUUGAAAUCUUAUAUGGCUCAAUCAGAAAGGACCAUACUAUUUAGAUUCUAGACUUCUGCACUUGAUUCACCCCAACAAUGAGACAUAUCUGAGCACAUCAAAUUCAGAAAAGAAUUGGAUAACUUUACUUUUGUAUAGGCAACACCAUAGCACAAAUUAGAGUAUGAAAGAGGAAUAUUCUAACUCCAUAGCACGAACUAGAACAUAAAAAAAGGAAAGCAUUCCUAAACGCCUAGUAGCCUCCUUCUUAUAAGUGUGGCAUGCUACAUACCCAUAAACAAGACUCUACCCGACGCAAUUUCGCAGACAUCCUGGGACAUGAACCGUGCUCUGAUACCAAGUUUGUCACGACCCGAACCGGGUCCCUGGCUGUGACGAACAUCCAAAAUCAUAAAGGUCUGGACGCCCCUAUCUAUCUGGUAAUCAUGCACAUCAUUCAUAUACUAUAGGAAAAUGCGGAAUUAUAUAAUAGAAUGGAAUCAUGGUCAUAAAUAUGAUAUAAUUCAACAAUAAAAAAUGAAAUUCAAAACCAUAUGAUAACAUCUGAAAAUCGUCUGCAAAAUCUCCACUACAUGACUAAUACCAACUAUCUGAAAACUGGGACAAGGUCCCCAGUAGACCAAAACCCUGACUAAUGAUAAAUGUCUAAAAAUAAAUAGGCCUUCCUAAAUAUAGAAGGCUUACCAACUGAACUCUGCACUUCUGUCUGAAGAAAUCUACUGCUUAUCAAGACACCUAGAUUAUGCCUCAAAACCUAGAGGGUAGGGGGUCAAUACAAUUGUACUGGUAAGCAGAGCAAUCCAAAAUAAAGCUUUUAUAUAAAUAAAAUAAUUGAGAGCUAGUCAUAAAAUAUCUCAUAAGAUAUAAGUUCGAAACACAUGAGCAUUGUUGAUAAAAUCAUAAAAAAAACUUUCUGUCACUGCAAUUCAUAAUCUUUGUAUUACUUCUGAGUUAGGUGGCACUUCCCUACAAGUCUGAUAUUCCAUGGGCUAUAUGAAAUCCAUCAUUGACUCGUAGGGGAAUCCCCCAACCCAAGUGUGCCACAAGGGUUAAGAGUGUCUGAGUCUGAUAUGCCAUAGGGCACUAGGCCAGCGUAUAAUAAUAUACCCGAAUCGGCAAAUCACGGUUUUGGGCAAUGAGUUGUCUGAACUCGUGCCUUCUUCGGGAAACCACCUAAGCUCUCUUUAUGCCCAAUUUUAGUCUGUUCUGAAAUAUGCACCAUUCUAGUUCAAAAUCUAAAAAUUUGAUUUCAAACAUGCAUUCUAUUCUGUUCUGAAUUAACAUGGCAUUAUCUGAGUUGGUGUCAUCACACCAAGAUUUGCAAGUCCUACUUCUGAGUCAUAUUGUACUAUGCAUGAUUCUUUCAUUAAAACUCAAUUCAGACCACCCAAACAUGCAAAUAGUAUAAGAGAUUUCAUGUUCUGAAAGCACAACUCAAAACUAUGCAAGGAUUAUCAUUCUUUCAAUAACAAUGUGGUGGUUCUGAAAUCUUUGUCAAACCAUGCAACUCUUUUCCUUAGAUAUUCAUAUUCAAUAUUUAUCAAUACAAACAACCCUCUCUUUUUAAUUCAAAAAUCAUAUUCAAGUCAUAGCAACAAUCAAGACAUUUCAUACCAUGCUUUUCAAGAUGCAUUUCAAAACAAUUCAUAUCAUAUGAAAGAUGGAAAAAAUAUAACAAGAGAGGGAUUCAUUAUAAUUCAUGCUCUCAAUUGAAUAUUCAUCCUUAAACACAUGCAUACAUGUAUAUAGAAUUUCAAAUCAACUUGGAGGAAGGCCUAAAGACCAAAAUAAUGUCAUUGAGACUUCUAAAACAUGAUUAUAAAUCAUAAAUCUAAAAUUCUUUUUCUUAAAAUCAUGAUUUCUAUGCCCAUGAGAUUUUUUUAGAAAAACCCCACGUACCUUAAAUUAUAAGAUCUGAAAGAUGGAACCUAGAUCUUGAUAGAUGAAACCCGGAUCUUGAUUUGCUUCUUAGAGAUAUUGAACUUAAGGCUUGAUUUUCUUGAAUUUCUUGUUCUUGGAGAAAACCCUAAUUUGAUCUUAUUUUGAGAGUGAAGAGGAAGUUUUUGAUGUUGUAAAACUGAUAGUGAUUGAUUAAUAAUGCUUAACGGGUGAUUUAAUUUGUGUGAAAGGUUUUUGGAGUGAUAAAAAGACCAAAAUACCCCUAAGGAACCCAAAAAAAUUAUAUAAUUGCAUCAGUUGACCACCAAGGUUGACGGGCCAUCACUCAGGUGAUAAGUCGUCACCCAGGUCAUCACUUUUGGGCUGGUUUUCACCAUUCACUACCUUAGGCUAAUUACCAAGUCUGACGGGCCGUCACACAACUAAUAAGUCGUCAGCCUCGUCGUCACGUUUUGGUAGAUAGACACUUUAAAUAAAAUGAGCAUAACUUUCUACUCCGAUUAGAUUAAAGCAAAACCAGUGGCUUGGAAAGAGGACUCAAAUACCUUUCAUUUGAUAUAUAGUAGGCCUCCUAAUUCGUUAUAUACAACAAUUUAUGUCCGAUUGAAUUUGACCCAAGUUUCGACGCUCACUCAAACUCGAACGAUAGGAAAGCUUUCAACUCUUCCUUGAGUUUGGGGACCUCUAUGAUCUCAAUUCAUGCCCAACUAGAUUCACACACUACAUAAAUGAUUAAUACACUGUAUUUGCAUUGGAUUUAUUGCUUUUGGAUCAUCUACGUACAGAAACGACGGUUUUCAUUCUAGCCAAAAAUACAGGGUAUUACAUUAGGUAUGUUAACCUAUUGUAUGAUCACGUUAUUUACAAGUUUAAAUUGUUAGAGAUGACACUUUUUUAAUGAUUUUUGGAAUCAUGUUUUCAAUAAGGUUCAAGAAGAUCCAAGAACUUGUAGUUUACUGUCAAAGGAGUAGCCAAACGGGCGAGACGGUUGAUAUUGGUGCUGCAAUUUUCAGACCAUGUUGAAUUUACUUUCCAACACCCUCUUCUCAAAAUACUUGGCGAAUCCAUAUGAAAAUUUGGGUAAAGAGUUUAUGGAAAUGGUGGCGGGAAUAAUGUUGGACUUGGGUAAACCAAACUUGGUAGAUUACUUUCCAGUGCUAAAAAUACUGGAUCCUCUAGGGCUGAGGCGAUAUAUUCUCUUUUCGGGAAGAUACUAAAGCUAUUUCAUGGAUUGAUAAAAGAGAGACUGGAGCUAAGGAAGUCCCAAAAUGAUUAAAAAAAACUAAUGUUUUAGAAGCCUUAAUCACAGCCAAUGAACAUGAUCCCCUAGAGAUUGAUUGCAUGCAUAUAGCAACAAUAUGUUCGGUGAGCUAUCUUUAGUUCUCCUUUUUUAUUCUUAUUUUUGAAACUGAGGGCAGGAGAUAAUUAGAAGAUCAAACCUUCACACUAACAAGGUGAAAGUUGAGAAAAUUGAGUGUAGAAUGGAAAAAAGUCUUUAAAUUAAAAAUGAAGAACGUUUUUAAGCAACUACGAUAAUAGUUGGAGAACUUUGAAAAGAACAUUUACAUUUUUUAAGUGGUUGAAUAAAUUAUGUAGAAAAUUAAGCAACUACAAUAGAUGCUUCAAUAACUACAAUAAUCGCUUCAACAAAUAUAAUAGUUGCUACAGUAGUUACGAUAAUUGCUGCAACAACUAUGAUAAUUACCGCACUAAUUACUUUUAGUUGUUGUGUUACAACAACUAUUAUAGUUGUUGUAGCAACUAAGACAAUUUUUUCAGCAACUAUAUUGUUGUUGCAGUAACUUUGACUAUUGCUUCAGCAACUUUAAUAAUUGCUUAAUUUCUGAAAAAAGAUAUAAUGGAGGAGGAGCCAACAAAGAAAAUGAUAGUCAUGGUGGAGGGGGAUAUGGUAUUGCAGGUGGUGACACUAAAGGAGAAGGUGACGAUUAUUGCAGUGUUGGUAGUAAUAAAGGUGGAGGAGAAAGAAGAAGAAUAGGCAGCGUUGUUGUAAGAGGAGGAAAUGAUGGUGAUGAUGGUGGAUUAGGAAAAUAUAUUAAUAUUGGUGGUGGUGAUGGUGGAUGAAGGGGAGGUGGUGGUGAAGGUGGCAGCGGCGGCUACAAUAAAAAGGGUGGGUAAGGUGAUGUAGGAGGAGGAGUGGUGGUGGCAGCAGCGGCAGCACCAAAAGAGGUGUGGAGAGGAUUGAGUAUGGUGGGGAAAGUAGGAGACUUUGUGUAAAUAAUAAAACUUGAGGGUUUAAAGUUUAUUGUGAUUAAAACUAAUUUUGAAAUUGUCACCUCUUCCCAAUAAUUAAGACCUGUAUCACUUUUUUUUUUUUAGUUUUGAAGUUUUUUGUCACCCUUAAUUAAUUUUCCUAUGAAAGUUUUAUAGUAGCCAAUCAACAUGAGCUACAAGAUUUCCUAUGUAUGUAUGUAUGUAUGUAUGUAUGUAUGUAUGUAUGUAUGUAUGUAUGUAUGUAUGAUCUUUUAUGGCUACUUACAAAUUGAAUAUAAGAAAUAUUUCAGAUCUAUUAUGUGUAACUAUGAAGAUCUCUUCUAAACAUAAACUAAAAAUAAGUUUAUAAGGGGCUACAAAACCAAAUUUCCAACCUAUGUUUCGUAAUCAAAAAUAUCGAAUUCAAGUGAACCCUUCAAAUAUGCAUGCGUUGGUAAAUUAUCCAUCCGUGGUUUGCAUGAUUAAUUUCUCGAGUAAUCUUCACCUCAAGGUUCUCAGUGUAUUUCAGGACUUAUUUGUUGCCGGAACUGACACAAGUUCGAAUGUAAUGGAGUGGGCUAUGGCUAAGCUUCUUAAAGCUCCAGAGAUUAUGAAGAAAGCCCAAGCCGAGCUCACAUAAUUCAUCGGAGAAGGGAAGGAAAUAGAGGAAGCUGACGUAGUCCGACUCCCUUACUUGCAGUGAAUUAUUAAAGAAACUUACAGACUGCACCCUCCAUCUCCUUUUUUGGUUCCUCAAGAAGCAGGGGAAGAUGUUGAGUUAUGCGGUUACACUGUCCCUAAAGGUUCAAAAUUGAUGGUUAAUGUGUGGGCAAUUGGUCGAGACUCAUCCCUUUGGGAAGAUAUGUCACGCCCCAAAAUCCCAUCGGGCCGGACUGGCACCCGANNNNNNNNNNNNNNNNNNNNNNNNNNNNNNNNNNNNNNNNNNNNNNNNNNNNNNNNNNNNNNNNNNNNNNNNNNNNNNNNNNNNNNNNNNNNNNNNNNNNNNNNNNNNNNNNNNNNNNNNNNNNNNNNNNNNNNNNNNNNNNNNNNNNNNNNNNNNNNNNNNNNNNNNNNNNNNNNNNNNNNNNNNNNNNNNNNNNNNNNNNNNNNNNNNNNNNNNNNNNNNNNNNNNNNNNNNNNNNNNNNNNNNNNNNNNNNNNNNNNNNNNNNNNNNNNNNNNNNNNNNNNNNNNNNNNNNNNNNNNNNNNNNNNNNNNNNNNNNNNNNNNNNNNNNNNNNNNNNNNNNNNNNNNNNNNNNNNNNNNNNNNNNNNNNNNNNNNNNNNNNNNNNNNNNNNNNNNNNNNNNNNNNNNNNNNNNNNNNNNNNNNNNNNNNNNNNNNNNNNNNNNNNNNNNNNNNNNNNNNNNNNNNNNNNNNNNNNNNNNNNNNNNNNNNNNNNNNNNNNNNNNNNNNNNNNNNNNNNNNNNNNNNNNNNNNNNNNNNNNNNNNNNNNNNNNNNNNNNNNNNNNNNNNNNNNNNNNNNNNNNNNNNNNNNNNNNNNNNNNNNNNNNNNNNNNNNNNNNNNNNNNNNNNNNNNNNNNNNNNNNNNNNNNNNNNNNNNNNNNNNNNNNNNNNNNNNNNNNNNNNNNNNNNNNNNNNNNNNNNNNNNNNNNNNNNNNNNNNNNNNNNNNNNNNNNNNNNNNNNNNNNNNNNNNNNNNNNNNNNNNNNNNNNNNNNNNNNNNNNNNNNNNNNNNNNNNNNNNNNNNNNNNNNNNNNNNNNNNNNNNNNNNNNNNNNNNNNNNNNNNNNNNNNNNNNNNNNNNNNNNNNNNNNNNNNNNNNNNNNNNNNNNNNNNNNNNNNNNNNNNNNNNNNNNNNNNNNNNNNNNNNNNNNNNNNNNNNNNNNNNNNNNNNNNNNNNNNNNNNNNNNNNNNNNNNNNNNNNNNNNNNNNNNNNNNNNNNNNNNCAUAUAACAAUGACUAAUGCACGUAAUUAAGUACAGGGUGUUACAAGAUAGGUGCUUAUCUUUUGUGUUUGGUAUUUUGUUAGUUUGUCUUGUGUACCACACUAGUUAUAUAUACUUAUAUUUGGGUUGGUAUAUGGGUAUCGGUCCUAAGCCGGGGAUCUAUCGGAAACAACCUCUCUACUUCUCCUGAGGUAGUGGUAUGGUUUGCGUACACUCUACCCUCCCUAGACCCCACUAAGUGGGAAUACACUGUUAAAAUCCGAUCAAACCCGGUUAAAAUCCGGUCAAACCCGGUCAAAAAUUAAAAGAAUUUUUUUUUUCAAUAUACACAAUAUAUACCUACCUAUAUAUAUUUUAAAUACGUUAAACAAUAUAUAUACACUAUAUAUAUAAUAUAUACUACAUUAGAAUUUAAAAAAUAUAUACACAUAUACACAAUGACACAUAUAUAUGCACCUUUCAAUAUAUACGACUAUACGUGCUACUUUAAAUAAAACAUAUACUAUAAUAUAUAUAAGUAUAUGUAUAGAGUUAUAUACUAAUUUAUAAAGCAUAUACACAUGUAUACAUUAAAUAAACACUUCUAUAGAAGAUCUAUACACAAAUAUAAGCAUCAUUCAAUAUAUAUGUACUACUUUAAGUAAAACAUAUACUACAAUAUAUAUAUAUAUAUAUAUAUAUAUAUAUAUAUGUAUAUAUCAUAUCACAUGUAUACAUUACAUAUACACAUACAUAGAAGAUAUAUACACAAAUAUACAAAACAUAUGCUACUUAAUAUAAUAAAUUAUUAAUAAUAUACUAUAGUAAAUUAAUAAAAUAUUAGAAGUAAGUUUUUAAUUUAAACUAGAAAUUCAAUUUAAAUCAUUAAAUGAAAAAAAUACAAAGUAAGGACUAAGGAAGGAGUGAAUGAAUGUUGAAUCUUAUUGAUUGCGAAAUGAUCCAAAAUUUAUAAUUUACAUGAAUGAAAAAUCUACAAAUUAUGCAUUAUUUUUUUCAACUCAUUCUUUAAUAUUAACGGGAACUUGCAUAAGAUAGUCAAAGUCAGCGGGGGCAAAACCAUGCAUUGGACUUGAUUCUGCUGAGUUCUUCCGUGAAGACAUAAUUUCUUCAAGUUUUAGCUCGUGGUUCGGCUUCGGUUCCAUUCCUUGGUUUCUUCUUUCCGCUCUAAUCCAAUCUCUGAGGCAAAUUAGAACAUUCAUUGCAUUGCUUCCCAAUGAGUGUCGGUUGUCUCUAAGCUGUUGUGGUCCCCAACUAAAGGCGCUCUCUGAUGUAACGGUUAACAUUGGAACAUUCAAGAUAUCUCUAGCUAAUCUUGAAAGCACAGGAUAUUGUGUUUCAUUACUCCUCCACCAAUCCAACGUGUUGAUCCGUUGUUUGCGAUCCUCUGGCGACGACCGAAGAUAAUAUUUCAGCUCUUCCCGAUAACUUGAUGUGUAAGUUCUCUCAUCAACACUGUUCCAACAAGGUAAAUCAUAAAAGGAAUCAGAAAAACCACUAUAUGUUAGCCUUUUAGAAGAUAAUAGCUCCUCGGGAGGAUGAGGAACGACAGUUGGAGUGAUAUUUGUAGGUACGGCUAAGUCAAAUAAAUCAGCAUAGUGAUUAUAUAAUUUUUCUAUGUAUUCAUUUGCAUCACCCAUAGUCGUCCACAAAUCUGGUUGUACUUGUUCAGAAUCAUUAUUAGUAUUUAUUUCUAAGUUAGCAUAAAUAAUAGUACUAAAGUGGCUCAUUGUAUUAUAUUUCAUGCGCGAAUGUAGCAUAGCACCAACCAAGUAAAUAGGGGGAAUCGGAAAAAAAUAUUUUUUAAAUUUAGUAAACAUGAUACCAACAGCUUCUUUAUAACCUUCUUUGUUUUUAUAUUCUUUGAGCAAACCAGAAAUAUCGGCUAUAUAUGUCAAAAUAUUACAAACAGUAGGAUAAUAAGCACCGAAAAAUUCAACCGUAGCUACAUAAAUUUUUUCUAAAAACUUAACAAGAUCAUUAAUGACAACCCAAUGAGAAUCAUGUAGUAUGCAAUCAGCAGAAUCAACAAAUGAACCGCAAUGUUGGUUAAAAGCUAGUUUAGUAGGGACUCUAUAUUUAUAACAAGUUUUUAAAAAAUCAUACGUAGAAUUUCAUCUAAUAUCAAUUUCCUCAGGCAUUAAUAUCGGUGCAAGUCCAUUUUCUUGACAUUUAACUUUAAAUUCUCUAAUUCUUUUUCUUCGAUUAUUUCCUUGAAUAAAACCANNNNNNNNNNNNNNNNNNNNAAGCUCAAAAAACUCAAGACCAUCUUUUACAAUUAAAUUAUAUAUAUGACAUGCACACUUAAUAUGAAAUAUUUCAGGCAAUGGCGGAGAUAACUUAGAUUUUAAUUUUUUACAGCAGUCUUGUUGUUAGAAACAUUAUCAAAAGCAAUACAUAAGAUUUUAUUUUCGAUGCCAUAAAAUCCGGCAACUUUAACAAUAGAAUCAACAAUAAAAUCUCCAGUAUGUUUACGAUCUUCAUCAUAUAAAAAAGCAAGAAUACGUUUUUGCAUCACAAAAUUACUAUCCAUCCAGCGACAAGUAACGGUUAAAUAAUCAUUUUUAUUUACAGCACGACCAAGAUCAGAAGUUAGGGACAAUCUACAUUGAAUAUUUUUUAACAAUGUUGAUAAAUAAAAAUAAUAUUGUGAAUGAAGUCUAAAAAUAUCAGAUCGACAAGUACUUCUAAGAGCACCAUUAAACAUAGGAUUAUAAAUUGCUUGAAUAUAAUGAAUAAAGGCAUCAGAAGAAGGAAAACUAAAAGGCAAACAACCCACAACUACUAUUUUAGCUUUUUCUUCUCGAUCCCUUAAUUUAUUAUACUUUUUCGUUACCUGACCCGUUGCUAGGUCCAUUCUAAUUUGAGUUGGCCCACUAACAUCCCCACCACCUCGUGUAAUAUUUAACUCUCUUUCGUGAGCAUCACCUAUAUGUCUCAUUAGUGUACCCAUACCCCCUUGCUUGCCUCCACUUUUAUGCUUAUAUAUUUGUUGACAAAUAUUGCAUUGCACCUUAGUAUCUGAUAUACGUUCAAAAAAUUGUCAUGCAAUACUAGUUGUUUUACGAGGUCUUGAGGCACGGGGAGGACGGGAAGGGAGAUUAAUCGAUUCAGAUCUAACGUUAGCGUUUCCUACUGCCGGUGUCUCACCAAUAUUUUCAUCAUCUUCGUCUAAAUUAACUGCAUCUACUUCAUUUUCUUCUAUACCAUAAUUUUUCUGAGCUUCUACAUAAUUCAUAUCGUGAGCACCUACAUCUAUUUCUUCCUCAAAAGGUGUACCAAGCGGUACCGGAGGUGAUGACACAUGGGUAUAUCUACUAUUUGAAGUACCUCUACCUCUAGUAAUUCGCUUUUUACUACUAGUACCUCUUGCGGGACAAAAUUUUUUAACACCUUUAGUAGCGAGGUUUCUUAAUAUAUCCAUAGUAUAAAUUAAAUUAAACUAAAAAAAUUCAAAAUACACAAAUAUAAUAAAAUUAAAUAUUCAACAAUUAAUACAAUAAAUAAAAAUUAAACGUAAAAGAUGAAACGACAAUACCAAAUUUUGAAAGUAUCCGAAGGUUGCGACUUUAGAAACUUUCACUCGUACUUUGUAAACGCAAAAUAAAAAAAAAUAAAGUGAGCACUUUAGAAAAUUAAAUAUAUUAAAUAUUUGAGAAUUGAGAAUUGAGAUUUGAGAGAGAAUGAGGUUUAAGAGAGUAAAAAAUUGUGUGAAAAAUGAUUUGAAAGUGUAGAAUAUUUAUAAAAUUUUUUUUGGGAUUAAAAAAUAAUAUUAAAAGUAAUUUUUUUUAAUAUAUGGGCCCAAACUAACCGUUUGGACCCAAAAACGGCUAUAUAGCAGUUGGACCAACGACUAGUUUGGCCCAAAAUCCAUUUUUUAAAAAAAAAAACUUUAAACCGAGCCGAGUCAGAUUAAUCGGGCCCAAAUUUAAAAAAAUAGCCCGGGUCCCUAAAGCCCUUUGGACUUAUCGGGACGGGUAGGACCAGGUCAACCCAAACCACUUGACACCCUUAGUGGAACCACAUGAGAUGUACAUACCUCCGAUCCAUUUGGAAUAUCAUUUUAGCCACAUAAUUUUUGUUUUGUUCGCAGUACAUAAUUCCUCCAAUUCAUUUUAGUUGAUCAAAAAAUAAAUAUUUUAAAUUAUUUAUAUAUUUACUAAAUUAAGAUAAUAUUAAUUUUUUUUUUCAUUUUACGCUUACCAUUACUACUCUUUACUCUUUGGAAUUGGAAAAAUAAGUUUAUAAAAUUUCAAGAAAGUAUUUUAAGGGAUAAAUUAAUAAAUUAUCCUUCUUAUUUAUGAUUUCUUAAGUUAAGCACGCAAAAUGAAAGUGAUUAACUAAUACUCCCUCCGUCCCAUUUUACUCGUCUCAAAUUUCCUAAUUUAAUUUCUCAUUUUAAUUGUCCUUUUUCAUUAAUCAAAACAAAAUAAUUUUCUUUUUUCUUUUUUUACCCUUAUUAUUAAUUAUUUUUUCUACAAAUUAAAAUAUAAACAUCACUUAAUAAGAGUAUUAUCGUAAAAUAAUCAUGUUAUUAAUUAUUUUUUUAAUCAAUGUGCAAUGUCAAUUUGAAAUGAGUAAAAUGAAAUGAAGAGAAAAUAUAAUAUCAAAUCGAGACGAGUAAAUAUAUAAAUUAUUUUAUUGGAAUUUGGAACAACAAAGUUUGAAAAACAACGUAACUAUUUUAAUUUCUUACUGGUUUCUUAACACAGUUACAGUGACGUAAUACUUAUUUUGGCAACCAUAAGAGUUGGUGUGGUGGUUCCGCACUUCACCCAUUAAGGAAGAGGUUGGGGGUUCGAUCCCCACCUCUGAUGAAUGAAAAAAACUCCAUGGCCAGUUUCCUACCGCUUAGUGUGUUGACCGUAGGAACAGAUGAUUAGUCUCACGGCUAUCGGCCGUCGACUGUGGGGAUACCUUGAAAAACCAAAAAAAAAAAAAACUUAUUUUGGCAAGAUAAAUAAAAUUUAGUCAAACACUUUUAUGAGUAAUACUAUGAAGUAGUAAUAUCUUUUUAAUUAAAUAUAUCAAACUUUAAACACAUUUAAAACAUACCGAAGAAGUAAGUUUUGUAUGCCUAAACCUUAAAUCACAUUUUUAAAUGGAUUGAGAAAUAUUUUUUUCCUCCACUUUUACUUGUCUUAUACUAUUAAAAAUAAUUUUUUCUUUUUAUUUUUCCACUGAAGCGUAUUAAGAAAACGACAAUUUCUUUUUUCUUAUUUACCACUAACAUUAACUGCUAUCAAUUUUUAUUAGUUUCUUCAUAGAAAACAAACUGUUCAUCAGAUUGUAAACUGUAAAAGGGAAUAAAGAUGAAAGAAACAGUAAAAAAAAUUGUGAGCUAAUUGUGUUCUUUUUUCAUUAGUAGGUAAAUUUUAGUUGGGUGAUUUUGAUAGUUUGUAAAAGUUAGGGCAUAAAAUCAUAUUUAAAAAUUUUUUUUCAAAAGUCAAUUUUUUUUUCUUCAAAAAAAGCAUGGUCAAACACAACUCCAACUCCAACUUCAACUCCAAUUCCGAAAAAUUUUAGUUUUCAUGGCCAAACGGCUACUAAAUAAGCCAUUCGUCCCAUUUUAUGUGUUAUCAUUUUCUUUUUAGUCCGUCCCAAAAAAAAUAUCAUUUUUUCUUAUUUGAUAAUUAUUUAAAGAUACAAUUCAACUUUUACCCUUAUUGAUCCCACUUAAUUAAUAAAAGAUACUAACAUUUUUUGAUAAAGGACAAUUUGAUAAAUAUUAUCAAGUCUUCUCUUAUUUCUUAAACUCCAUGUUCGGUCAAAUGACGAUACAUAAAAUGAAACGGAGGAAGUAUGUCUUUUUUUUAAAAUUAAUAUUGGACUUGGAGUCCUUUUUAUGGCAAAUCACCAAAUAAAUACAUACAACCCAAUAACAAAACAAAUAAAAUCUGAUGACCCAACCUGGCCCAAUUGCCAAGUUGGGUCUCUAUAAAUAUAUCUUUUUUUUUUUAUAUUUAAGAAAUUUAUAGUAAUUAUUUUGGACCAACAUGUUACUAUCUUUAUUUAAUUUGUUAUUUUGCCAUGUUACCCUCGCAUGUGUACUACACACAUUUUAAUUUAAACUAUGUUGAGAUUAUCAAAUUUAAUUAUGCUAUUAGUUUAGUUAGUAUAGUUUGAUGUUAGCCUUGUUACCUGUACAACUAGCCGAUUAGUUUCUUGUUAUUAAAGUAGUUUGUUAGAGUAGUUAUGCUGACUAGGCAGUUGUUUAUGCCUUGUUGCAAGCUGUAGACAGCUGACAUUUUAUUUUUCUUACUUGUAUAUAUAGAUUGCUCCUACAUGAAUAAAAUUAGUUUUUGGUUUCUCAUUUUAACCUGAUCUCAAAUAUCUUCUCUCUAGAGCUCAAACUGCUCAAUUAAUGAAGUUUAUGAUCUGUUUCCAUUGAAGCUUCUUCAAUUCUAACAUGGUAUCAGAGCAGAGAAUUUAAACCUUUGCUCUCGUCCUCACUGUAUCACAGUUUCACUUUUACAUCAAAUUUUUAUUUUUUUUCUCUGCAAUUUUUACUGCUUUGUUUACACGACCUUUGUUGCCGCAUUUUCCUUUUGUUAUUGCAAUUUUCAUUCAAUUUAUCCUUCUUCCCAUAUACUUUUGUUCUUAUUUUCAUCAAUUUUCCAAUUUCACAAUCGCAUUACUGUGUUUCAAGUCAUGACAACUACUUAUGAACAACCUGCCCAACCAGCCCUGUCACGACCCGAAUCGGGGCCCUAGCUGUGACGAGCAUCCCAAACCAUGAAGGCUCGGACGCCCUUCUAACUUGUAAUCACAUACAUUGUUCAUAAAAAAUAAUGCGGAAAUAUAUACUGAAAUGGAAACAUGGUCAUUAAAUCUGAAUUUAAAUCAUAAUGAAAGAUGCAAUUCCAAAAAACAACUGAACGAUAUCUGACUCAGUCUGCGAAAUCUCUACUACAAGCAAAAAUCCAACUAUUUGAAUACUGGGACAAGGCCCCCAGUAGACCAAAACAUACUAAUGAUAAAUGGCUGAAGUAUCUAGGCCUUUUGAAACAUAGAAGGAUCACUAGGGACUCUGGACUUCUGCCUGUAGAAAAUCUACUGCUUAUCGGGACCCUUAGAUUGAGCCUCAGAACUUAGAAGGGAGGGGGGUCAAUACAGAUGUACUGGUACGCGAAGAAAUUCAAAAUAAAGCUUGUAUAUAAAUAAAAUAGUUGAGAGCUAGUCAUAAACAUCAUAAAAGAUAUAAUUUCCAAAACACAUGGGCAAUUUUGAAAAUAUAAAACCUUUCUGUCAAUGCAAUUCUAUUUUUCGUAUAACUUCUGAGUUAGGUGGCACUCCCCUAGGAGUCUGAUAUUCCACGGGCUAUAUGGAAUCCGUCAUUGACUCGGCGGGGAAGCCUCCAACCCAAGUGUGCCGCAAGGGUUGGAGUGUCUGAGUCUGAUACGCCACAGGGCACUAGGCCAGCGUAAAAUAAUAUACCUGGAUCGACAAAUCAUGGUUUUGGGAAAUGAGUUGUAUGAACUCGUGCCUUCUUCGGGGAACCACCUAAGCUCUCUUUAUGCCCAAUUUUAGCCUGUUCUGAAACAUGCAUCAUUCUAGUUUCAAAAUCUGAUUUCAAAUAUGCAUUUUAUUCUGUUCUGAGUCACCAUGGCAUUAUCUGAGUUGGUGUUGUCACACCAAAACUUGUAAGUCCUAUUUCUGAGCCAUAAUGUAUCAUGUAUGAUUCUUUCAUCAAAAACUCAAUUCAGACCACCCAAACAUGCAAAUAGUAUAAAAGAUUUCAUGUUCUAAAAGCACAAGUCAAAACUAUGCAAGGAUUAUAAUUCUUUCAAUAACAAUGUGGUGGUCCUGAAAUAUUUAUCAAAUCAUGCAACUCUUUCCAUUAGAGAUAUUUAUAUUCAAUAUUUAUCAAUACAAACAACCCUCUCUUUUGACUCAAAAAUCAUAUUCAUGUCAUAGUAUAAAUCAAUACAUUUCGUAUCAUGCUUUUCAAGAUACAUUUCAAAACAAUCCAUAUCAUAUGAAAAAUGGGAUAAAUCAUAUCAAAAGAGGAAUUUCAUGUGAGUCAUGCUCUCAAUUAAAACAUCACAUUAAAACACAUACAUACAUAUACAUAGGAUUUCAAAUCACUUAAGGGAGAAGGCCUAAAGACCAAACAAUAUUAAUUAAAGCUUCUAAAACAUGCUUAAACCCUUUCCGUAAAAUCAUGAUUUCUAAAUCCUUAGCAUGAAUUAAAGAAGGUUUAUUUGCCCAUAAAUUUUUUAGAAAAACCGCACGUACCUCAAAUUAAUUAGUUUAAAGAGAAGAACUCAAAUCUCGAUUCAUUCCUUGGAAAUCUUGAACUUAAGGCUUGAUUUUCUUGAAUUUCUUAUUCUUGGAGAAAACCCUAGUUUGAUCUUAUUUUGAGAGUGGAGAGAAAGUUCUUGAUGUUGUAAAACUGAUAGUGAUUGAUUAGUAACGCUUAAGGGGUAAUUUAAUUCGUGUGAAAGGUUUUUGGAGUGAGGGAAAGACCAAAAUACCCCUAAGAAACCCCAAAAAAAUCACAUAAUUGCAUCAGUUGACGAUCAGGGUUGACGGGCCAUCACUCAGGUGAUAAGUUGUCACCCAAGUUGUCACUUUUCAGCUGGUUUUCACCAUUUACUACCUUAGGCUGACGACCAGGUUUGACGGGCCAUCACACAGCCGAUAAGUCGUCAGCCUCGUCGUCACGUUCUGGCAGACAAACACUUUGAAGUAAAAUGAGCAUAACUUUCUACUCCGAUACCGAAUUAAAGCAAAACCAGUGGCAUUGAAAAGAGGACUCAAAGAAAUUUCAUUUGAUAUUUAGUAAGCCUCCUAAUUCAUUAUAUACAAAGAGUUAUGGUAAAUUGAAGUUGACCCAAAUUUUGACGCUCACUAAAACUUGAACGAUAGGAAAGCUUUCAACUAGUCCUUGAGUUAAGGGACCUCUAUGAUCUCAAUUCAUGCUCAAAUAGGUUCCCACACUACAUAAUUGAUUAAAAUACCAAAUUUGCACAGGUUUUAUGGCUUUUGGAUCAUCUACGCGUAGAAAUGACGGUUUUCGUUCUAGCCCGAAAUGUGGGGUGUUACAUUAUCUCCCCCUUGGGAUCAUUCGUCCCCAAAUGAUGGGUAGAAAUGUUGAAUUAUUAAAGGUAUGGAAUAAUGUGGACAUGAUAUGUCUUCUAAGAAGGGAUAUAGCCGAGCUGAAAUAUUUAAACUUCUAUCAUAAAAUUGAAUUCUGAGCUGACUUGACUUUACUUGCUUUAAGGAGCUAAUUCAUGCUGAAAGUUUUGGAUUCACUUGAAGUGAUCAUGAUCCAAUCAUAUAUAUUGAAUUGAGAAGUGAUAACUUAGGCAAGUACAAAUCAUGAGGUAGCAAUACUUAGACUGUACUAGGGUAUUGCACUAUCUGAGCUAAAAUACUUGGAAAAAUUUGAGAUUACGUGCUGAACUCUUAUGAACUGAGUCAUGACUAAAUAGCUGAAUCUGAGACAUGAUGCUUUGACUGAACUGAAUUCGCAACUUACAUGGAUGGAAAAGAUUAUCUCUUGGGAUGGUUAUACUCCUGAGACUUUGGAUAGUAGGACUGGGUGAAAAGAUGGAAAACCACUGUAACUUAUCUGCCUGACUGUUAAACUGAAUUACUGGAUAUACAGAAUGAAUUAUGAUCGAACGUUAUACUUCACUGGAAUAUCUCUUCAACACGCUUUCUAAAGAAGUUCUAGUAGCAUUAGGGAGCAAAAAAUCUUGGGCAUGAGUUACACAAGACAUCCAACUAAGGAAUCACAACAAUGACACUACUCUAUAGCAUGUAAUAUAGAUAUAUAACUCAUAAACUAGGAUAGAAUUACCAGACCUUAGGAAAUACAAUUUCUUACUUUCCAGCUUAGCACACUUCCCGAAUACUCCCUUAACUAUACUAUUCCCCUUAAAUACCAUGCUCAAUAGAUUCAACUUAAAAUUCUCAUAUGGGCAUUGAUAAAUCGUUCUACUAAUGUCUAAAGUGACUUAAAUCCUCUCACCAUGAUCUCUCCUAACUCCAAACCACAAAAUACAACAUGCCGCACAACGAUACUUAUUUUGUAACACCCCACAUUUCGGGCUAGAACGUAAACCGUUAUUCUUUCACAUAGAGGAUGCAAAAUUUAUUAAUCCUAUGCAAAUGUAGUGGGUAAUCAAUUAUGUAGCGUGUGAAUCUAUUUGAACAUGAAUUGAGAUCGUAGAAGUCCCUUAACUCAAAGACGGGUUGAAAACUUUCCUAUCGUUCAAGUUUUAGUGAAUGUUGAAACUUGGGUAAACUUCAAUCGAUAAUAACUCAUUAUAUAUGACGAACUGGGUGGUCUACUAUAUAUCAAAUGAAAGAUCUUCGAAUUAGCUUACCAUCGAUACCAAAUUCUCCUAAGACGGACACUCGGUGAAGAAGUUAGAACAUUUUUAGUGUCAACAUUCCCGUUUGACUGGCCACUGCGUCGCGAUGAGCCUUAAAUUGACAAUUGUCAAUUCUAGUAGUUCAUUGCGAUUUUCAGCGCAUCACGGUGAAGCCUUAUACGGCAUUCCAGUCCCAGAUUUUAAAUUCUGAGGUCAAACUAGAUAUUUCUCAUGGCCCCAAACCCAUCCAAACACGGGAUUUAAUCCCAAAUACACCUAAAAUACAUACACUUUCACCAAAAUUCAUCAAGAACGCUCUCUAGGAUUUCAAAAAAGAAUCCCAAAUAAUUCAAGAUUCAACCGUGAGUUUUUGAAGAUAAUUAGAGAUUUGGAAUCCCCAAUCCGUAAGAUUCAAGAAUCAUUCAUCAUUCUCCGAAAUAGAGGUACAUGGGGUUGUCCUAAAUUUUAUGGGCAUGUAUUCAGAAAGGAAUUUACCUAAGACUUUAAAUUUAUACAAGUAUAUAUAUGUUUUUACAAAUGGGGGUUUUCAAUUGAUACAAAUAAUAUGUUUUGAUAUAUGAUUUCGAAAGAAUUAUUGAGAUAUCAUGGGGUUGUUUGUUUGAAUGUAUUUAAAUAGUUGAAUUGUGAACAUGUGACCCGAAAUUUCAAAAGGGUGUGAUGUACAUGAGUUGUGAAUUUUCUAAAUUCCCCAUGAUAAUAUUUAUACCCCAUAUUAUACCAGUGUUAAACUAUUGAGAGCAUGAGUUUUACAACUGAUAUGACAUUACUCAUAAAUGAUUAAAAUUCUUGAAUAAUUGCAUGUUGAGAACCAUGAUGUGUGUGUUUUAAUGGUGUGAAAGUCAUACAUAUGUGCAUGUGGUAAAUGGUAUGAGAAGUUAGAAAGUUAAUGUGAUAUUGAUGACUUGCAAGUUGGGUAUGACGAUACCCUGCAGAGUAUGACAUGUGAUUGAUUAAAAUGAGUUUCAUGCAUUGAUUUUGUGAGAUAGGUGGUUACUCGAAGAAAGCACGAGUCAAAUGACUCUACGCUGAAAACCGUGUUUGCCGACUCGGGAACUUGGUACCCUGCUGUGUGAUCUUGUGUACCUGACAUUAUGUCAUCCCAAAUUGGGACUAUAGUUAGGAGCCCUGCGUUGUGAUCUUGUGCACUACCAUACUUGAUUGGGUCGAUACACCCUGCUGUGUGAUCUUGUGUGUCCUUCCCUCACUUAUACUCUAAUCUCGGCGGCAAUCGAGAUUUGACAAUUGGUGAAAAUGUGAAAUUGUAGGGUGUACCACCUAGCUCAGACGUGUUGCAUUAUUGUUGAAAAAUCAGUAUACUAUGCCCAUGUAUUUUCGAAAUCAUUUUACAAUAAUGUGUUUUAUAACAGCUCUCAUUUAGUUUAUAUAAAAAUCUCUACUUUGUUUUGGAUUACUCUGCAUACCAGUACUUUGUAUUGACCCUCUUCCCUCCCAGGUUCGGAGGCACAGUCUAGGGGUCCAGAUAAUCAGUAGAUUCUUCAGACAGAUUUGCAGAGUCAAGUGGUGAGCCUUCUAUGUUCCGGAAGGCCUGAUAUCUGUCAGUUUAUUUAUCAUUUAAUAGUUUAGGGUCUACUAGGGGCCUUGUCCCAAUUUUCAGACAGUUGUUUAUUUUAGUUAUGUAGUAGAGAUUUCGCAAACGGUUUUCAGAUGUCGAUAGAUGUUGUGGGCAUUAUUUUCCAUUAUUGAUUUCAUUAGACUCGUGACUAUGUUUCCGUAAUAUUUUGUAUCUUUCGCAUUUCUUUUUAUCAUAUGAAUUAUGUGCAUGAUUACCAGAUAGAUAGGGGUGUUUCGGGCCUUCAUGGUUCGAAAUGCUCGUCACGGCCAGGGCCCCAGUUCGGGUCGUGACAUGUCUAAACCAUAUGAUUCAGUCUUCUAUAUCUUUUUAGAGAUCACACCCUAAACAUAACGUGCCUUACCUCUUCAAUGAUGACUAACUCUGAACUCUUACUAUGGAUUUACUAGCACAUAUUACGUUCCUCCACUUAAAUCCCAACAUGUCAUUCAAGCCUAUCUUUAUAACCACAUAUGAACUUCAAGGCAAACACUCGUAAAUACAUACUUCACAUAGUCUCUAAACCAUUGUCAAUAUAACUCCCACGCGCUAUCCCAAGAACAUACACACACAAAUUUCCACUAACCAUCAUAUGUAUCAAAGACUUGGCCCCAAAUCUUACUUCACACUUAUGGUCUUGUCUAAGACAAACAUACAAUGAUCUUCCAUCAAUAAGAAACAUUUACUCAUCACCACUAUCAUCACAUAAGGAGAAGUCACUAAAGGUUAAAACAUAAGACCUUGAAGCAUGGAAGGAUAUUAUACGAGACUUGACACUUAACUGAGGCCUGAGGAAUAACAAAUCAACAUCAGGAGUUCAUCAAAGUGAUCUGAAUUGGGGGCAUACAUAGCUAUAAGCUGAAUUUCACCCAUCUUUAGGAGUAUACCAUGAGUUAUGGGAACUGAGCACACUAUAAAGCAUGAAUACAUGAGUCAUGAGCUGUAUGACCUCAAUUUGGAGUUCAUAACAUAUGGAAUGUGAUUUCGACUACUGAAUGAAUUGGAACUCCUCAUUUUGGAACAGGAAGAGCACGUGAUUCUCUAUCAUAUACAUGAACAUGAACUAUGAUCAUGGAACUGAAACAUAAGGCAUGAGUAAGUAUUGGGAUAACUGAAAAAAAUACUGAGAUAAGAAUGGGUUGACCCUCACCCUUACUUCCUGAUGUUCUAUAUCAUACUGACAUCACUACUAGAGUCUGAGAUCCUGACUUGGUUAUUUGUUCUAUCAUCUCCUCCUUAACUUCAAGCCAUCAUCUUAAGUUUGAGAGAUCCCUUACUAGACUCUAAUUGAACUACACUUACUGCACUCUAGGGUCUGAAAAAAUGACCAUACACACGUAUCAUAGAACUUAACCUGAAUGACUACACAUGACAGUGGAAAACCCACUGUUAAUAAUACCUUCUAAUAUGCACUCAAUCUUUCUAUAUCCCCAAUAGCCAAUCACAUAAUACUUGAACACUUACUAUCUUUGAAUCCUCGUGAGUAUCCCCAUAGUAGGAGUGCACACCCUAUAGCACUUCAACUCUUAUUUCUGUAGGUUCAACCUUCAAAAAUUCAAAGUUAGAUUCUAACACUUAACAUGGAUAUCACCAAGACCUUGAUAAAAUACUACUAGUCUUUCUCUACCUCUAUGGCCAUCAACCUGUUCAAACUUAAUGUCUAGUUCUAAACAUGAUUUACAACCCAAUUUUACACACAAUUCUCACUUGGAAACUAUGAAGUAAAACAUCAAUAAACAUUAUUACACUAGAACUCCAUAACAAUAAUAAUCGAUCAUAAUCAUAUGGCCUAUCCUAUUCACAAUCCGUUAACACAUCCUCCUUCUAUACACCAUUACUAUCUACCCUUUUUAUGCAGCUAAACUUAGUCUAUAACUCUAUAAGUUUCAACUAAACUCCUUCUUGCAACUAAACUACCCAAAAUUCUGGGUGUUACAAGCCCAGUGAAAUAUCUGCACUAUUGAUCCUUUGUACAUGCAUCCUGCUGAAAGUGUUGGUUUGACCUUGCUCCCUACUGUGUUUGAUGGCACUGGUUAUCGCUCUUGGAGGUGGGGAAUACUUUAAGCACUCUUUGUUAAGAACAAGAUGGAUUUUGUCAAUAGAAAGUCGACGCGGCUGGCUGAGGACUCUCCAACCUUUAGUCAGUAGGAACGAUGUGAUAACAUGGUAACCUCUUGGAUUUUAAACUCCCUUUCACAUGAUUUGGCAAAUAGCCUUCAGUAUGUGAAUGAUGAAAGAGAAUUUUGGUGAGAAUUAGAGGAUCGAUAUGACCAAACUAAUGGUGCCAAGUUGUACCAAUUACAAAAGAAGAUCAAUAAUCUCACACAGGGAAAUAUGGACAUCACUACGUACUAUACUAAGUUGAAGAAGCUCUAGGAGGAAUUCAACACUCUCAACUCACACACAAUCUGCAGUUGCCAAUGCACUUGUGGUGCUAAACUUAAUCUACUUAAGGUUGAACAAGAUAGACGUUUGAUUUAAUUUCUGAUGGGGCUCAAUAAGGUGUUUAUUCCUGUGCGUGGAAAUAUUUUGAUGAUGACCCCCUUACCAAAUCUAGCUCAGUUUUUUUCCAUCCUUAUUCAAGAAGAAAAGCAAAGGGAGGUCACCCCUAGGCUACAUUUGGAUUUAGCCUCCACUUCUCUGAACACACAGGUAGCAGCAGCACAUGCAGGUUUUCAAACCAAUUACCAGGUCAAUCAAGGACCAAGUCAUUAUAAUCGACAACCCAAUUCCAUCAAACUACCUUACAGGCCAAAUUCAUCUAACACACCUUAUCAUUCUGGGAAUCCUGCUGGAUUUGGUGGGCAAAGGACACACUUUUUGAACCCCAAACCUUUUACUUUCUGUGAUUACUGUAAGAAGACUGGUCAUACUGAGAGAAAAUUCUAUAUAUUGCAUGGAUUUCCUCACGAUUUCAAGUUUACUAAAGGCAAAAAUUCAGUUUUUGUCUCUAAUGUUCAUGGUGGUUAUCUUGAGAAUGCUGAUGGAGAUCGCAAUGGAAACUAGAUGAUUGGGAAAGAUGCUUAUAGAUUGAGUAAGGAUCAAUAUGACAAGUUGAUCAACCUACUAAAUCAUUUUCAACUAGAGAAUUCUAGACAUGACUUAAACAUUCUCACUGGUAGAGCAGUAAACUUUGCAGGUAUCAUUGCUUGCCACUCUUCUAUGACUAAGAUUGGUACACUAACUUGUAAUUGUAAUCCAUUGUCCGCUAAAUCUUGGAUCCUAGACUCUGGAUCAUCUCACCACAUGGAUUACAAUAGAGCACUAUUAACCAAUACUAGAAUUCUACCUUAUCCUUCCUUAUAACCUUACCAAAUGGGUAUAAAGUCAAAGUUACGAAAAUUGGUAAUGUAUUUCUCAAUACCGCUUUGUAUUUGCACAUAGUGUUGUAUGUACCUAGCUUUAAGUUCAAUCUUAUUUCAAUUCACUGUUUGACUAUGCGUUUACAUAGCACUAUUAGCUUUAGCAAUUUUUCAUGCAUCUUGCAGGCCCCUUCACUGAAGAGGCCUCUGGAGAUCGGUAGCGUCAGAAAUGGCCUGUAUUACCUUUGCUCAAGAUGUCAAAACAAAGGUUCAAGUUUAGCAUCUCCAACUUCUUACAAUUCCUGCAAUAUGUCUCUUUCUACAUCCAGUUUGUUUGAUUCUUCAUCAAGUGUUGUUGCGUGUAAUAAGCAAGUUUCAUUUGUUUUAUCUCCUUUUCCUUUAGAUAUUUUAAAUAUGCCAUACUUCAUCAAUAAAGGAACUUGUUCUAACCCUGAAUCUUAUCUACUCUCUGCAUUUCAUAAUUACAGUAAUUAUCUUUUAUGGUAUUUGAGGUUGGGACAUGUACCCUUUGCCAAAAUGAAAACUAUCCCACCCUUUACCUUCAUUGGAAGCUCAAUAACCCUUUGCUUGCAACAUUUUCCCCAUGGCAAGGCAAUCUAGAUUGCAUUUUCCGCAGAAAACAACUAGUACAUCUAAAAAUUUUGAACUAUUACAUAUUGACCUAUGGGGGUCCAUAUCACAUUAGCACUCAUGAUAAUUAUAAGUAUUUUGUUACCAUGUUUGAUGAAUAUAGUAGAUCAACUUGGACUCAUUUAAUCAGCAACAAGAGUAAUACUCUUCAAGUUAUCAAAUCUUUUAUUUCCCUUAUAGAGAAUCAAUUUUCUACCACCAUUAAAAUCAUAAGGACUGAUAAUGGUUUGGAAUUUGUUAAUGCUGAAACACAUAAUUUUUUACAAUCCAAAGGUAUCAUUCACCAAGCAAUAUGUCCCUAUACACCACAACAAAAUGGUGUUGUGGAAAGAAAACACAAGUACUUGCUUGAAACAGCAAGAACACUAUUAUAUCAAUCCAAAUUACCUCUUAAAUACUGGGGGGAGUGUCUCUUGACUGCAGCCUAUCUGAUAAAUAGACUACCCACUACCUUUCUAAAAAAUAAAUGUCCUUAUGAGUUGCUCUACCAAAAGAAACCUACUUACAACCAUCUUAAGGCCUUUGGAUGUCUUUGCUUUCCCACAAGCUUGGGAACACGCAAAACUAAAUUUGAACCAAGGGCUACGCCACAUAUUUUCCUGGGAUAUCCUUUUGGUAUAAAGGGGUACAAAGUCCUUGACUUACAAACCAAAAGAUUACAUGCAUCACGAGAUGUGUUGUUUCAUGAGCAUAUAUUUCCUUUCCAAAUGUCACCUACUAAUUCUAAUUCUACCUUUCCUUCCAUUCUAUAUUUAAUCAACUCUCAUUUUGAUCAUGUGCAUAACACUGCCAUACACCAUACUGAUGCAUCUCAGUUGUACACCAGAGACACUACUGAUAACGCUCAAUCUACAGCUCUCGUGGGAGUGUAAAGCGGUCGUUAGCAAAUAUAGAACCCAACCUGGGUUGGGUAUCGAUCCCACAGAGAAUAGCUUGGCCAACAAGCAAGAGAAAUUACUAGACUUUUAGUGCAAGUCUCGUAGAAAAGGGGGGAUUGUAGUAUGUAACCAAAACAAGAAUGUAAGAACUGAAAAUAGCAAAAUAAAGAGAGAUUGUCACGUGUGUUGUAAACAAUGAGAAUUGAGGCGUUGGGGUUAUGUCCACCUUCUGAGGUAUACGUCUCUAUUGGCUAUGAGUGUGUAGAGUCUUGACAUGUAAUUGCUUAUAGAGAAUUGUAGUCGAUGGUAAAUCCAAGCGUCUCUCGACCUAAACAAGGACUAUUUCACUUUAACUCUCUCGAGCUUAAAGCGUGACUAACGGUACGAAUUCUCCAAGAAGUUAGUCCAGGUACGGCACUAGCUUUUUAAUAGGAAAGGGUGUCCUACUACCUUGACAUUAUCUCUUUUCCAGACAAAUAACUUUUCUCUCGAACAAGUCAGAUGUUAGACUGGCGUUGGUCUAUGCGUCUUCUUUUCUAGACAAAUAACCUUUCUCUCGAACAGGUUAGAUGUUAGAAUGGCGUGUUCUUGUGUUUGAACCGCAAAGAAUGUAGAUUUAAGAUGAAGAGAAUAAUGAUAUAAGCAAUAUACUUGUCUUGAACUCACAAACUCAUAGCUAUAGAUAGUAACUCAUUCGGCUUCCAUAACCCCAACUAAGAGAUUUAGUUACCCAUGAAUGCGAAGGAUAUCACGUUUUGCAUGGUGGAUGGCGUGAAUAGUAGGUGUUUGGCGUGUGGUUUUAGUGAUUCCGUAGCAAGUAACGAUUCUCUUGUUGUGGAAUUUAAGAGUAGAAGAAUGAAGAAUUGAGAAUGGGUUGUAGGAAGAUGUCUUAAUUGUAAGGAGAUGAAUGAAUUGUCAGAAUGUCUCCCUUCUUGAAAAUCUCUAACAUGAUAGGGUAUUUAUAAUACUCCUAUCCUACUCCUACUAAACUAAUAAAAUAAAUAACCAAAUCCUAAUAUACUAAUGAAAUCCUUGACCCAAUUGUACUAGGGUAAGGUUACAAAAUUAUAAUCCAAAUAGAAUGAUGAAACACAUAACCUAAUUGCACUAGGUUAAUGUAUUAUGGCAAAAAUCCAGCUUUGUGUCUGUAAGUCCCAAAGUCUUCAGAAAUGCUGUUUUAGCCCGGGACAGAUUUUCCAUGCAGCAGAUUUAGUCCUUUAUGCGUCCAGCUCCUUUCCAUCUCGUUUGUGAGCUUUCUUUUGCGUCAAGUAAGCCAUAAAUUGCUGUAUUUUGCAUCAUUUAUACCUGAAACUUUCCUAAUCACAUUUGUUAGCUCAUUUACAGGAAAAAGGACUAAAAGUGUACGAAAUAGAUAAUUAGUUCUCGAAACUAGGCUAAAAUAUGGGCAAAAUAUAUUGAUAUAGGCGCGUAAUUUCGCCUAUCAUCAACACCCCACACUUAGAGCUUUGUUCGUCCUCGAACAACAUAUCAUGUCCUUCUAAGCAUUGACUUAAGGUUUUUACAGAAACAACACAAAACAUUCUUCAAGACAAGCACAACAAUUAUCAACGAAGAGUAGCUUUCCGAUUAUAAGUAGAAACAAUUUAACCUCAAGCAUAGACUCGUGAUGGUGAUCAACUCGCAUGCAAACGUUUAAGGUACAUAGAAUCAUAUACAACUAUCCAAAACUCAUCAACCAUGUGUGUCUCACAAUAUAGUACCCAUAAUCACUCACAAGUAUAGCAUAUUUUUCAAACAUGGGCAGCAAAGUAUCCUUGCGCUCACUCUCACAAAGAAUUCAUAUGUAGCAGCUAAUGACCAUAGGCUUGCCCUUAAUGUAGUACUCCACUAAAUGUCGGAAUGUUAAGGUUAGGAUCAAGUAGGUCUUUUGAUGGUUGUAAUGUAGGCUAAGGGACGGGUAGGAUCAACUAUUUUGGCCAGAAAUAGUGACUAAGUUCCUAAGCACUUUAAUACAUCACAUUGUAUUAUUGACACUUUUUUGUAGCACCCUUGUUCUCCUCUUUUGUUUUUCAAUUUUAAAGCACAACUCACUUUUCAGCUUUCUUUUCCUUUUUCUUCUCACAACAUACCUCUUAUGAUAGCACUUUCUUUUUCAUAACAUAUUCAAGCACCAUUACAAUUUAAAGCAUCAUACUCAACCAAUUUCCUCUUAUGUUGUCACAUGACUUUUUCACUUUAAAGCACUUAGGAAUUUGGAUCAAAUUACGGUCUUGAAAAAAAAAUGAAUUAGGCUUACAUACAAGGUUGUCAAAGAAAUAGGCUAAAGGCUCAAAAGGGUUUAACUAGGAUGAUGUCCAUGGGUAGGUAAAACUGAAGGUAAACAAAUAUAGGUUGCCAAAGAAAUGCCUAAAUCAUAUCCUAAACUUACACUCCUUAUUUUCGCUUUGCAUACAUACCAGGCAAGUUCUAGCAUCAGCCACAUACAUAGAAUAUACUAUUAUCUCACACACACAAGGCACAUGGUCGACUUGAUUGGUAGCAAUAUAGACUCUCAACCCAACAAGUGAAGGAAUUGAAUCACACACUAUCACAUAAUGAGUCACAACUAGAGCCUAAAUGUCUCAAUAGUCACAAUUGUAAUACAUACUAUUGUUAUAAUCUCAUGCUGCCUAUUAAAAUAAUUUCAUGCGAGGCUAGAAAAAUUUUAACUACUAAAAACUAAAAAAAAAACGUCACACGAAAAAAAUCACAAAAAAAAAUCGGACUCAAAACAAAAUAAAUAAAACAAAAUAAACAAGCAAACAUACAAAUAUAGCAUGCAGAUUCUGCCGACACCCCACACUUAGACUAGACACUGCCCUCAGUGGAAAAUAAAGUCGAAGAACCUGAUUAGUCGGACUCUUCCUCAAUGUCAUACCCCCUUCGUUCGAGUCAUCGUAAGAGUCAUCGUCAGAGUUCUCCUCAGCAUCAGAAUCAGGCAAGCGUCUAUCAUCAUCAGUUGGCACGUCAUCAUCAAGAGGUUCCUCGAAAUAUACUCCCACUCCACACAUCUCCCGGGCAUGUCUGUUCAUUGGGUAGUCGUGGUCCAGCUGUUGGAGCUCUUCAGCAGUUGGAAUACGUCCACCACUCAUCAUAGUGAAUCUCGUCAUGCCAUAGAGAUGACGGAAGAAACUCUCGUCACGAGCAUGUCUCUCCGCAGUGGUAAGGUUGACUCCAUGCGUUGUUUCAGCAUCUUUGACCUUGGUGAGGUCAACCUUCUUUGGGGUAUGUGGGAGUUUGUGGUCAGCUGGUUCCUCCUCUAUAUCCUCCUUCCGCAACAUUGCUGUCAACAAAUUGCCGAAUGUGAAAUAGGACCAUUCACAUUCACAUCAGUCUGGCUUUCCUCAUGGUGGAUCGAAUGAUUGCCCCAAAGUUGAUAGGGACAUUCGUCAUUAAUGAAUAAACCAGGCACACUCUAUCUCUCGAUAUCUUUGUGUAUUGCGUCCCAGGAAUGAGGCAUGAGUUGACAAUGCGCAUCCAGAUUCUUGCUUCCCUAUUUAGUGGAGCAUAGGGGAAUGUGUUGUGACGGCCUGUUUCCUUAUGUCUGCCCCAUCUCGCCAUCGAUCUGCUUCCACAAAGCGUGUGUCUUAUAGCUCUGUAAGGAGGUCUGCUGUACAGCUCUUUGUAUGGUGCAGUGUCGACCGAAGGUAGGCCUAGAAACGAGUUGAUCCAAUCCGCUGUAAGCUGUAACACUUGGCCCCGAAUUUUGACUUCGUUGCCUGUUGUGUUUGGCGACCAGUUGGCAUAAAACUCUCUUGUCAAGUCAAGAUUGCACUCUCCCAUGUCACGGAAGAUGAAAUCCAGCUUCAAAGCCAUAAUCUUAGCCAACAUUUGCGGCUCCUUCUUUGCUAAGGUCUCCUUAUUGAUUAAGUCGACGUGCACAUAUUUCUUUUCUUUGUUGCUGCUGUACCAUGCCUUGGCUUCUUCCUCAAGAACCCAUUUGAUUCCGAACAUUCUGCGUGGUAGGUGUGCGGAAGAUGAUUCGCCUUGGUCUUUUCGGCUUCUCUUUUUGUCCUUGCGGGUUGUGGUAGCCUUCUCCUUGCCUUGCCUUGCUUUCGGUGCCAUUGUACCGCCUUUACCAUACAACGCGACCAAAUCGUCAAUUGAAAUCAAUCUCCUCGUUGCAUACUUCUUACACCUAUAUUUGCUCAAACAAAUGAAAACGAUUAGUACGAUGGGUUGCCUCCCACCAAGCGCCUUAGUUUUGGUCGUGGCACGACUCUUAUUUUUGGAUUUUCAUUUAUCAAAAAGAAAAAAUACUAAAACGACAAAACGAUAAAACAAUAAAACGAAGGGUUGCCUCCCAUCUAGCGCCUUAUUUAUUGUCGUGGCUCGACGUAGUAAUCUCGAGUACUUAGACUUCGUCGAGAUAAGUGAUGGCCAUGUCAUUUAUCGAGUCAAGAGGACCGAUAUAUGGCUUAACACGUUGGCCAUUCACCUUGAAGAUAACACCCUCAUUAUUUUCCAAUUCGACUACUCCAAACGAGUAGACGUGGGUGACUUUAAAUGGACCAGACCACUUUGAUUUUAACUUACCUGGGAAGAGCUUGAAUCUGGAGUUAAAGAGUAGCACCAUGUCACCUUUUUGGAAGUGUCGUCGAACAAUCCGCUGAUCGUGAUACUUCUUCAUCCGCUCCUUGUAUAAAUCUGAUCUUUCAUAAGCAUGGAGACGGAAUUCAUCUAGCUCGUUCAGCUGCUCCAACCUCAGGUUCUUCACAUCAUCCCAAUUCAGAUUCAAGUGCUUCAAUGCCCAUAAUGCCUUGUAUUCAAGCUCGAUGGGUAGAUGACAAGCCUUCCCAUAAACUAGCUGAUAAGGUGACAUGCCAAUGGGUGUCUUGAAUGCAGUCCUAUACGCCCAUAGUGCAUCAUCUAGCUUCCGAGACCAAUCCUUCCGAUUCGCAUUGACCGUCUUGGCAAGGAUUUGCUUGAUCUCCCGAUUGGAAACCUCUACUUGUCCACUAGUUUGGGGAUGAUAAGGCGUAGCUACCUUGUGUUGCUUGACUCCAUACUUGGCCAAUACAGAUUUGAAUAGCUUGUUGCAGAAGUGAGAUCCUCCAUCACUUAUGAUAGUACGAGGUACCCCAAAGCGAGAGAAGAUAUUCUUCUUUAAAAACGCUACAACACGCUUUCCUUCAUUAUCGGCCAAUGCUACAGCUUCAACCCAUUUCGACACAUAAUCCACAGCAACCAAGAUGUACUUCAUUCCAAACGAAUUUACGAAUGGUCCCAUGAAAUCAAUACCCCAUACAUCAAAGAGUUCUACCUCCAGGAUUGUGGACAUGGGCAUUUCAUGGUGUUUUGAAAUAACACCUUGACGUUGGCAUUGGUCACACCUUCUCACAUAGUCGUGUGCAUCUCUGAAUAUUGUAGGCCAAUAAUAACCACUUUGCAAGACUUUUCUUGCUGUUCGAUUACCCGCAUGAUGUCCUCCAACUUGCGAAGUGUGGCAUGCUUCUAAUAUAGUGGGCACUUCGUCAUGGGAUAUACAUCGUCGAAUGAUACCAUCCGCACAUCUUCGAAACAAAUAAGGCUCAUCCCAAUAAUAGUGCUGAACGUCAUGCAUAAACUUCCUCCUCUGGUGGUAAGAUAAAUUUGUAGGUAACACAUUACUCACCACGAAAUUCGCAAAGUCGGCAUACCAUGGUAAGUCUUCUAUUGUUGUCGCUAAUAUCUCCUCGUCAGGGAAUGCAUCGCCAAUCUGAUUUUCUGAUUGCGCCACAUACUCAUUCUCAAGUCUAGAUAGGUGAUCAGCCACUUGGUUCUCGCAACCUCUUCUAUCUUUGACUUCGAAAUCAAACUCUUGCAGCAGCAACACCCAUCGAAUCAGCCUUGGUUUUGCAUCCUUCUUUGUCAUUAGAUACCUAAGAGCUGCAUGGUCUGUAUGAACGAUCACUUUAGUACCUAAUAGGUAGGCGCGGAACUUCUCAAACGCAUACACAACCGCUAAUAGCUCUUGUUCAGUGACGGUGUAGUUCCUUUGGGCUUCAUUGAGGACCUUACUCGCAUAGUAGAUAGGAUGAAAUAAUUUCUCCUUUCUCUGUCCAAGAACAGCACCAACGGCUACACCACUAGCAUCACACAUGACUUCGAACGGGAGCGUCCAAUCUGGUGUUACCAUGAUAGGGGCUUCAACGAGUUUUUCUUUAAGGCAUUCAAAUGCCUUUAAGCAAUCAUCAUUAAAGUCAAACUUCGCAUCUUUCUCCAAUAGCUUGCAUAAUGGACUAGAAAUUUUGGAGAAGUCUUUGAUGAAUCUACGAUAAAACCCAGCAUGGCCAAGAAAACUACGAACUCCCUUCACCGAAAUUGGAGGUGGUAGCUUCUCAAUUACCUCUAUUUUGGCGCGAUCAACCUCUAUUCCUUUUUCGGAGAUCUUGUGCCCAAGAACAAUUCCUUCUUUUACCAUGAAGUGGCACUUCUCCCAAUUCAGCACAAGGUUGAACUCUACACAUCUUUGUAAUGCCAUGCUUAAAUUCACCAAACAUGCUUCGAAAGACUCCCCAACAACUGAAAAGUCGUCCAUAAAUACCUCCAAAGUGUCUUCUACCAUAUCAGAGAAAAUAGACAUCAUACAUCGCUGAAAGGUGGCUGGUGCAUUACAUAACCCGAAUGGCAUACGUUUGAAGGCAAACGUACCAUAUGGGCAUGUAAACGUUGUCUUCUCUUGGUCUUCUGGUGCAAUAAAAAUCUGAUUAUAACCUGAAUAACCAUCAAGAAAGCAAAACCAUCCUUUUCCCGCUAAUCGAUCUAGCAUUUGGUCCAUAAAUGGCAUGGGGAAGUGAUCCUUGAGAGUCCAAGAAUUCAGCUUGCGGUAGUCCAUGCAUACUCUCCAUCCAGUGACGGGCCUGAGUGGAAUAAGCUCAUUCUUUGCAUUCGCAACCACCGUCAUACCUCCUUUCUUGGGAACACAUUGUACUGGGCUUACCCAUGUACUAUCAGAAAUAGGAUACACAACUCCUGCGUCUAACCACUUGAUAAUCUCCUUCUUCACCACCUCUUGCAUUGGUGGGUUUAGACGUCUUUGGUGUUCGAUGGUGGGUGUGCACUUUUCUUGGAGCUGAAUUUUAUGAGUGCAAAUUCCAGGUGGAAUACCAAGGAUAUCCGCAAUGGUCCAUCCAAUAGCUCUAAUAUACUUGCGUAAAAUUGCAAUAAGAGCUGCAACUUGUUGCUCACCUAAAUCGGCUGCCACUAUGACUGGAAGAGUGUUUCCGCUUCCUAAGAAUGCAUACUUCAAAUGGCUUGGCAGCUCCUUUAAUUCUAAUGUGGGUGGUUCUUCAAUAGAUGGCUUAGCUGGUGGUGUGGGUCGAUUCUUGAGAUCAAGAUCCAGCUUCUUAGGAGGAUAGCGAUAUGCUCCUAAUCCCGAUAGAGCACAAAUAUCAUCUUCAGAAAUUUCAGCAUCAUCAUCAUCUUCUUCCAUGAGCAAAACCUCCAAAGGAUCAUCAAGAAUUUGUUCUUCAGCAAGUAACUCAUCCUCGUCAUCAACGACAACAUCAGUCACAGAAAAUACACUUAGAUCUUUGGGUUGCUUCAUUGAUUUGCAAACAUCAAAGCGCACCACUUCAUCAUUUAUUCGGAAUGAAAGUUCAUUAGCUCUCAAAUCUAUGAGCACACUUCCCGUAGCAAGGAAAGGGCGUCCCAAGAUUAUGGGAACCUCUGAAUCUGCUUCGCAAUCCAAGAUGACAAAGUCUGCUGGAAAUAUGAAUGAAGAUACCUUCACCAAGACAUCGCAUAGAAUACCAACCGGUCGUUUUACCGACCUAUCCGCCAUAACAAGCUUCAUAUUAGUUGGUGUAGGAUCUCCCAACCCCAACUUCUUGUAGAUUGAUAAUGGCAUCAAGUUGAUGCUGGCUCCUAAGUCACAUAAUGCUUUAGCAAAGUCCAAAGAUCCGACGGUGCAAGGAAUAGUGAAAGCUCCGGGGUCGGCCUUCUUCUGAACUAUGGAUCGGGUAGCUAUUGCACUACAAUGAUGCACAUCUUCUUUCAGCUCAUAGCUUGCUGCCCUCUUCUUAGUCAAAAGAUCUUUCAUAAACUUCGCAUACCCAGGCAUUUGUUCAAGUGCCUCUACCAAUGGGACAUUAAUAGUCAGCUGCUUCAAGAUGGUCAUGAACUUGCUGAACUUAGUGUCAUCGGCCGCCUUCUUCAGUCUUUGUGGAAAAGGUGGUGGUGGGUAUGGAAGUGUUCUUUCCAUGGCUUUCUUCUCCUCUUGCUUCCGUUUAUUACUUUUUUCAGGCUGCACGUCACUAGGCAACACGUCCUUGACGUUGGAAGUGGAUAUUGCGGCGUCUUCCCUAGUGGCGUCACUAGGUGUGGCGGUUGUGUCUGCUGUUCUGUCAACUAUUUGCUUGCCUUCUGCUGAAGUUUCCAGCACCUUACCACUCCUCGUAGUGAUGGCCAUGCAUGACCCAUCAGUCCUUGGAUUUUGCACCGUAUCGCUAGGCAAGGUGCCGGCUUUUCUUUGGUUGAGUGUUGCUGAAAGUUGACUGAAUUGCUGCUCUAGUUGCUUGAUAGAAGUGGAAUGAGAAUCAACUAAUUGCUUCAUGGAGGCCAAAUCGUCAAUCACCUCCUUAACUCCCGCAUUCGUCGCUUCCACUCCUUUCAAUAACUUAGCCAUCAUGUCUUCCAUAGAAUUAGAUGUGGUGGUAUCACGUCUACCAGGGGGAACGUACAAACCACUGUUUUCAUUAUUUUUCUUCCAACUACCUUGGUCUUUACCUCCAGAUUUGUCAUAAUAGUUCCGACCUUGGUUUCCUUGGGCAUUCCCACGGAAACCCCCCUGAUUGUUCAAGUAGUUGGCCUCCUCUUCUGAAUCAGAUUCGUCUCUUCCUUUUGACGCAAUAGAUUUCACUUUUUCAGUCUUCCCUAAUAGAUGCUUUGUAAGAAGAUCCAUUUGGGUUUUCAUGUGCGCCAUAUCUUGAUCACGUUCUUCUUCUCUCCUUCUUUGAUCUGCAGACAUGCCAAUAGAUAAAGUGGGGCUUGCUACCUCAGAAUCCCUGGUAUGCCAAGCUCUACUUUGUUUCGUCAUACGAUCUAGCAUGUUGCUUGCUUGACCAAAGGUGAGGUCCAUAAAAGAACCUCCAGCUGCGUUGUCCACCACUGGUUUAGUUACUGAAUUCAAGGCUCUAUAUAAGAUCUCCAUGAGGUGAACAUUAGUCAUGUGAUGGUUUGGGCAUCUCGCUAGCUUUGUCUUGAACCUCUCCCAUGUUUCGUGAAGAGCUUCAGAGGGAAGCUGACGAAAGUUGCUGAUUUCAUCUCUCAAUUGAGCCCUCUUGGAUGGCGGAAAGAAUCUUUCUAGGAAAGCGUCUCUCAAUUGCCUCCAAUUUGUAAUAGAAUCAGGAGUCAGCCCAUUCAACCAUAAUGUUGCCUCCCCAGACAGAGACAAUGGAAAUAGACGUAAUCGAAUAGCAUUCUGACCAACUCCAGGAUUGUCAAAAGACUUGCAUGUAGAAAUAAAGUUGAUGAGAUGCAUAUUCGGAUCAUCGCCUGCUAGUCCACCAAAUAAUCCCUUGAGUUGCAAUAACUGAAUCAUGGUGCUAGUGAUGUUGAACUUGGCUCCGGGCGCUAAUGGUGGUGGAAUUAUAGCUCCAGUGGCUCCGGCACCAUCAAGAUCAUCAUCAUCAUCGUCGAAAGCUGGUUGCAAAGGUUGGCGAUCAUAUCUGUACCGAGCUUGUCGACCUCGUCUGUUGGUAGGUGUUGCCAUUUCAGCGCCAUGCCUUGGGUUGAUCAACUCGUCAUCUCCUAAAUCUUCAUCGUCAGGAUUUGUUGCUCGUCCAGGAUUAUCAAUGUUUUGUUGUUGGACUUGAGCAGCGGCAAGAGCAGCUAAUCUUGCUUGCUCAUGUUGAGCAGCCAUCCUGUCGAUUUCCGCUUGUGCUUCCAUUCUUCUGAUUCGUUGUGGUUCCGGAUUGAUUGGUAAUAACGGUUGACCAGAACUUCUAGUAUGGGGCAUGCACUAAAAGAAAAACCUGCAAUAAACAAAAACAAAAACUAAACGUAAAAGUACGAGAAUCUUUGACCAAAGGGUCUAGUAAUUUUCACGAACUUGAUUGACACUCGUAUUCCCCGGCAACGGCGCCAAUUUUUGAUAACGCUCAAUCUACAGCUCUCGUGGGAGUGUAAAGCGGUCGUUAGCAAAUAUAGAACCCAACCUGGGUUGGGUAUCGAUCCCACAGAGAAUAGCUUGGCCAACAAGCAAGAAAAAUUACUAGACUUUUAGUGCAAGUCUCGUAGGAAAGGGGGGAUUGUAGUAUGUAACCAAAACAAGAAUGUAAGAACUGAAAAUAGCAAAAUAAAGAGAGAUUGUCACGUGUGUUGUAAACAAUGAGAAUUGAGGCGUUGGGGUUAUGUCCACCUUCUGAGGUAUACGUCUCUAUUGGCUAUGAGUGUGUAGAGUCUUGACAUGUAAUUGCUUAUAGAGAAUUGUAGUCGAUGGUAAAUCCAAGCGUCUCUCGACCUAAACAAGGACUAUUUCACUUUAACUCUCUCGAGCUUAAAGCGUGACUAACGGUACGAAUUCUCCAAGAAGUUAGUCCAGGUACGGCACUAGCUUUUUAAUAGGAAAGGGUGUCCUACUACCUUGACAUUAUCUCUUUUCCAGACAAAUAACUUUUCUCUCGAACAAGUCAGAUGUUAGACUGGCGUUGGUCUAUGCGUCUUCUUUUCUAGACAAAUAACCUUUCUCUCGAACAGGUUAGAUGUUAGAAUGGCGUGUUCUUGUGUUUGAACCGCAAAGAAUGUAGAUUUAAGAUGAAGAGAAUAAUGAUAUAAGCAAUAUACUUGUCUUGAACUCACAAACUCAUAGCUAUAGAUAGUAACUCAUUCGGCUUCCAUAACCCCAACUAAGAGAUUUAGUUACCCAUGAAUGCGAAGGAUAUCACGUUUUGCAUGGUGGAUGGCGUGAAUAGUAGGUGUUUGGCGUGUGGUUUUAGUGAUUCCGUAGCAAGUAACAAUUCUCUUGUUGUGGAAUUUAAGAGUAGAAGAAUGAAGAAUUGAGAAUGGGUUGUAGGAAGAUGUCUUAAUUGUAAGGAGAUGAAUGAAUUGUCAGAAUGUCUCCUCCCCUCCUCUAAAUCUCUAACAUGAUAGGGUAUUUAUAAUACUCCUAUCCUACUCCUACUAAACUAAUAAAAUAAAUAACCAAAUCCUAAUAUACUAAUGAAAUCCUUGACCCAAUUGUACUAGGGUAAGGUUACAAAAUUAUAAUCCAAAUAGAAUGAUGAAACACAUAACCUAAUUGCACUAGGUUAAUGUAUUAUGGCAAAAAUCCAGCUUUGUGUCUGUAAGUCCCAAAGUCUUCAGAAAUGCUGUUUUAGCCCGGGACAGAUUUUCCAUGCAGCAGAUUUAGUCCUUUAUGCGUCCAGCUCCUUUCCAUCUCGUUUGUGAGCUUUCUUUUGCGUCAAGUAAGCCAUAAAUUGCUGUAUUUUGCAUCAUUUAUACCUGAAACUUUCCUAAUCACAUUUGUUAGCUCAUUUACAGGAAAAAGGACUAAAAGUGUACGAAAUAGAUAAUUAGUUCUCGAAACUAGGCUAAAAUAUGGGCAAAAUAUAUUGAUAUAGGCGCGUAAUUUCGCCUAUCAUCAACUACUGAUCCUGUUGUCCAUGAUUUUGUACCCACCAACGAGGAUUCACCAAUGUCUAGUUCUUAUCAAUAAACACAUACUACUCAACAAACAACUACUGACCCACCUUGUUCUGCUCCAGAUACUCUCACUUCUACUCAACCACCAUCACCACCUGUCCUUAGAAGAUUAUCUAGACCACAUAUUCAGCCUACAUACUUGAAAGAAUAUGCCUAUAAAUUACCCAAUCUGUACUACACCUCAACUCUAGCUGUAUUUUUAUCUACCUUAUCACUAGCUACUACCAUCUCUAGCAAUGCUUCAUCAUCACUCUUUAAUCAGGAUAAUUAGCAGAUGGUGAGAAAUACUUUACUUGAUGGUGAACCUUCUUCUUAUAAAGAGGAAACACUACAUCUUUCUUGGCAAACUGCAAUGACACAAGAGUUUGAAGCCCUGCAUGCAAAUCAUACUUGGGAUCUUGUACCACUACCUCCUGACAAAAAGGCUAUAGGUUGUAGAUGGGUAUAUAAGAUUAAACACAAAGUUGAUGGAAGUAUAGAAAGGUACAAAGUUUGACUUGUAGUUAAAGGUUUCACUGGACUAUACUGAGACUUUUUCACCUAUAGUUAAGAUGACUACUGUCAGAGUUUUAUUUAGUUUAGCAGUAAAGAAGAACUGACCUUUGUUCCAAUUAGAUUUCAAUAAUGCCUUUUUGCAUGGUGACCUCAAAGAGGAAGUGUAUAUGGAAAUCCUACCUAGUUUAGUUACACCACGAAAAGGGCUAGUUUGCAAGUUAAGAAGGUCACUCUAUGGCUUGAAACAAGUAAGCAGACAAUGGUAUGACAAGCUGACCAAGUCUUUGUGUUCUAAGGGGUUACACUCAGCUAGUGACUGCUCUCUAUUUUACAAGAAGAAGAACAAGUCCUUGGUCUUUGUUGAUGUGUCUGUUGAUGAUAUAAUUCUUACUACUACUUAUCUGAAAGAAAUUCAACAACUAAAAGUUUUUCUCCAUCACCAAUUCAAAAUCAAAGACUUGGGUAAACUACAUUACUUCUUGGGAUUAGAAAUUCUUUAUAUUGUCAAAGGGAUUCUGGUGUCACAAAGAAAGUUUAUGAAUGAUCUACUAAAAGAGUUUGAUUGUCUGGACUACCCUGUAGUCUCUACUCCACUUGAUCCUACUGAAAGACUACAUGCUGUAGAUCGCAAGCUUCUAUCAGAUCCAGCUUCCUACAGAAAACUAGUUGGAAAAUUAAAUUUUCUUAGUAAUAUAAGGCUAUAUAUUUCUUACAAUAUGUAAUAUUUAAGCCAAUUUAUGUAGGCUCCCAGGGAACCCCAUUACAGAGCUGCAUUACAUGUGUUGAGAUAUCUCAAACCUGACCCUUUUUUUAGGUCUUUUCUUGUCUAAUGAUUCUAAUUAUGUUGUCACUACUCAUUGUGAUUCUGGUUGGCCUACUUGCUCUGAUUCAAGGAGGUCAGUAAAUGGGUACAUAGUGUUUUUAGGUAACACCCCUAUCAGUUAGAAGUCCAAUAAACAACUGACCAUAUCAUUAUCAUCAGUUGAGGCAGAGUACAGAGCCAUUAUAAAGGUGGUGGGAAAACUGGUUUGGAUAGAUAAGCUCCUCACAGAAUUGACAGCUCCUACUUCUAAACCUAUUGCUCUUUUUUGUGACAUCCAAGCUGUUGGAACCUUGAAGUUUUGAUGAAUGACAAUAUGAAUAAAACAAAGUGAUAUGAGUUAAUUUAGUGCAACUGAAAACUUCAACUUACUGAUCGGGGAAUAGAACAAGUUGAAUUUGAUUCAAACACUUGAUGAUAAGAGAAAGUAAGUUGAGAUAAAAAAAAAGGAGUCCUACGUAAAGAAGGAGUUUUACUUCUGAGCAUAUCCUGAAGAGUCCUAUGUGUAGAAGGAGAAAGAUUCUACAGAUUGAAGAUGUCUACGCGAGAUAGGAAACAUAUAAAUUGAAGGAAUCUUUUUUAGAUCAAUGAAGUUUUUGAUGACUGACACAUGAAUGAAAUAUGUUACUUGACCUGGUCCAAGCAUAGGAAGGUAGGUUUCAGAUUUUACUGAUAGAUGCAGACAAAGAUUGCUGAAAGUCAGGAACGAAUGAGAGUUUUGAUUAAAGGAGGAGUUUAAAAUAAAGAAUGACUCUUUGGAGAGCUGUGCUUAAAUAGAAAAUGCAUCAUUCAGAGUAAUUCACGCACUCAAAAAACAGAAAAGCACAAUUGAUAAAUUAACUUCACAAAGUGCUAUUCAAUCACUGAAGAAAUACAUUGAAGAACCAGGUCCUAAGUAAAGAAUCCAGCUAAGAGUUUUAGCUUUGAUUUUUAGAGCUGUUCAUUGUGUUUGAGCUAUUAAUGUAAUAUUAGUUUUAGUGUGUUAUAAACUAAAUUAGGAGAUAGUCUCCGAGUUGGGGAAAACUUAAAGACUUUGGGAAUGUAUACCUUGGGAGGUGUGUGUGCAGUUAGGAAUUAGAGUUUAUAAUUCCUAGUCUUUGAGUUAAAGGAAUUAGCGUUUAUAAUUCCUAAUUGUUGAGAUAUAGGGUUCAGAGUUUAUGUCCUAUUUGUUGGUUACAAGAGUUUUGCAAUCAGUCAUUGUUGAGGCUCAGAGUUAUUUAGUGAAGUUGAGGUUAAAUCCUGUAAAGGUACAGGUCGUGGUUUUUUACACCUUUUGAGUUGGGUGUUUUCCACGUAAAAGUCAUUGUAUUCUUUACUUUCUGUUUUACUGCUUCCUUGAAACACGUCAGUGGAACACGUCAGGCAGCCUAUUUCAUCGAUAAGCAACAGAUAGACAAAAAUAAGAUAAUCAGUAGGGCAUGAACUCUAAUAAGUGGUAUCAGAGCGAUGUUGUCUUAAAAAGGUAUAGCACCUCAGACAAAGAUCAAUAUGAUGAAUUCUGCACCACCUACUGGUCACAGUGAAGGUCAAUCCACUAUUAGCCCUCCACUCUUUGAUGGUUCUCAGUUCAUUUGGUGGAAAGCUGGGAUGGAAACACUCAUUCAAGGGGAGGACUGCGAGUUAUGGGAUAGGAUCACUGAUAGUCCUACUAUUCCAAUGAAGUUAGAAGAUGGAAAACAGGUCAAGAAUGUAAGAAGUGAAUUCACUCCUGAUGACUUAUUGGCAUUAAAGAAAAAUUCUAAGGCCAAAAAUAUUUUGUUCUGUGGAUUAGGACCUGCUGAAUACAACAGGGUAUCAACAUGUACCACUACUAAGCAAAUUUGGGAUGCUCUAGUAAAUGCUCAUGAAGGCACAUCUCAAGUAUGAAAAUUCAGAAUUUCUUUUCUUUUCACUGAGUAUGAGGUAUUUAAGAUGAAGGAGAAGGAAACCUUGCAUGAGAUGAUGACAAGGAUUACUGCCUUAACAAAUAAGCUGACCUCCUUAGGAAAAACUAUAUCUGAAAAAGAACAAGUCGAGAAGGUACUGAGGGUAUUACCAAAAUCAAAGUAGAAUGUUAAGGUGACUGCAAUCAGGAAAGCAAAUAAGGAUCUUGCAGGCAUGACCUGGAUGAAUUAGUGGAGAAUUUAAGAACUUAUGAAAUGAAAAUUAAUGGAACUAAAGUCCUAGAAUCCCUAGAGGAUACCUUAGCUCUGAAGGCAUCUUACAGUGAUGAAGAAAUUAAACUUGAUAAAGAACAAGUUGCCUUUAUAGCUAAGAACUUCAGCAAAUUCUUCAAAAAGAAAAAGGGAAUAGGUAGCAAGAAAUGGUCAAAUGACAAUCUAAAUGGAUGCUACAAGUGUGGUAAGACUAAUCAUCAUAUCAAAGAUUGUCCUGUUUGGGAAAUAGAAUGGAGAAAGGAAAGGAAUGAAAAGGAAUUGAAAGAAAAAACCAAAAAGAGGGAAGAAUAUGCAAUGGUAGCAGCUUGGGGAUUUGACUCAAAUGAUGAUGAAGUAGCACUCAUGGCUCUUGGAGAUUCAGACUUGGAGGAAGAAGAUGAUGCUUCUGAGGUAAGUAUACUUAAACUUAAAGAAAAGUUGCAUUUAUUUUCUAAAACAAAACUUAUUUCCUUGAUGAGUGUACUAAUUGAUGACUUCCAAGAAUCAACUUCUGAUAGGGAUGAGCUGUUUAACAAUCUUGCAAGAAUCAAAUUUGAUUUUAUUGAUUUAGAAGCUUACAAAAACAUUGUUGAACAGGAAAACUGCUCUCUCAAGAAACAGGUUGAGCAACUUGAUUCUUCGAAUAAUGAUCUUAAGUCUAAAGUUCUAAAAUUGACACUAUCUGAAAAAGGAAAAAACACCAAGAAUAAAGAAUAAGAAAAAGUUGAACUUGAAUUGGUCAAGUACAAAGAAGAGUGCAAUAAUGCAACAGAAAUGGUGAAUAUACUGUGUCAAGAAGUCUCUAAACUAAAACUUGACCUUGAAAAAGCAAACAGGUGGACAAAUUCCUCAAGAAUUGUUCAUAAGUUGAGUGAAAGAUAUUAUAGUGAAAAAGCUGGUUUGGGUUUUCAUAAAAGUCUUGAUGCUUAUCAAGACUUGUGCUAGAUUUGUGAAAACCUUGGACAUCCAACCACUGAAUAUCCAGUUGCUGGCAAAAGCAGAUCCAGCAGUCCAAAUCUGGCAAAUAAACUAUCUCAGACCAAGAAAAAGAUAACUAAACUUGGUCAGAGAAACAGGUCAUGUAACCUGUUGCUUGCAUGGGCUAAAAGAAAUCUGAUUCAUCCAUUUACUCUAAGAAAGGACCUAAUCUUGUCUGGGUGCCUAAAGUUAACGCCAAAUUUGUUUUGCAGGUGAGAAUGAAAGGAGGCAAGCAAAAUUUGUGCAUAAAUAAAGCUUGCUCAAGGCAUAAGACUAGAAGAAAAUAAAGUUUCUUUCACUCACCACAUUUAAAGAGGGAAUGGAUCAUUUGAAAGAUGGCCAAAUUUGUAGUGCUGUGUAAGGGGGAAGCAAAGGAGAUUUAAAAAAAAAAAGAGGAUGACUGUGAAACUGAUGAGCAUGCACAGGAACAUAUUGUACCACCUGGUUCAACUGUUGUACAGACUGAGGAUAUAUUGAUAGGGAGAACAACAAAUAAAGACAUGGAUGCAUUAAUAAAACCAAUACAAGAUGCUGGUAAUUUUGUUGGUAGUUCAUAAAAAUUGGUGUUGUCAAAAGAAUCUUGAGAUAUCUCAUGGGAAUCAAUGGCUUAAGACUAUGAUAUCCAAAGGAAAGCAAUUUCACUCUUAAGGACUAUAAAAAUGUUGACUAUGUGGGUUACUUAAUUAACUGUAGAAGCACCAAAGGCACUAAGUAGAGAGCAUUUUAAAAGGAAUAGGUUAGACUUGGGGAUGAUUAAAAUUUCAUGAACUCCCCUCAAUGAUUGACUAGAAUAAUCAUUUUUCUUUUUAAUCUUAUUAGCUAAAAAGUUAUUCUAUUCAGUCUUGCACAUUUAGUUGUGUGUUCCAAUUCCAUAUUUUUAACUUUUCUAACCUAAUUUUGUAUUAGAUUAUGCAAAAAUAGGUACAAGCAAGCAAUUGUGACCACAAAGUUCUUCUGACAUAAGCAUAGUCUGUCUAAGUUGAAAUAGUUGAGCACACCUGUUCAAUUUCACAUACUUUUCAUCCUUUCAUUGUCUAAUAAAGCUAAUGAAUUAUUGACCAAAAUUUUUUUGAUUCUCUCCAAAUGGGUGUGCACAAAUGUGUUAAUCCUAUACCAGAAAUUCCUUCUUCUUUCUCAACCAAAAUAUCAGUUGUGUACCAUGGAUUUGCCAAGCUUGAUCAUCAAUCACAUGCAACAUAUGUUUCUGAAGAAUGAAAAGGGACAUGUUUUCCCUUUUAGUUCCUAAUUGGUUAUUUUUUAGGACUUCUCAGUCCUAAAUCAGGCUUGACUUAUAAAAAAAUAGAUGUUCUUGAACAGAUGAAUCAUGAUGCUCUACCUGUUUCAAUAAGGAGGGCUAACACUUAUUUGAAAAAAAAAAUCUAAACUAGAAGCUGCACAAGACAGUCAUGAAGUGGAAUAAGAGGUCCUUAAGGCUAGGAUCAUGACUUUGAAGCUUGAUCUUGAUUGAUAGAGGGAUGAAAAUAUUAAAGUCAUUCAUCAGUUGACACAGUUGAUAUCACCUGUUCCACCUUCAUCAUCAGCUCCUCACUUUUGUAUCCUUAGCCAUGUCCCACUUUUAUAUCGUAUUUUUUUAAUGCUUUGUUUUGUUCAGUACUAGCUUAGGUUUAAUGUGGAACAUGCUCUGUCAGUUAAAUGGAAUGGUUAUCUUUGCUAAAUUGACUCAUAUUUUUGCUCUCUUUAAUACAUUACUAGGUUGGCUAAAGUCUUUGUCUGAUUGUUUUGGUGAUAGACCCAGUGGCCAUGAAUAACAUAACAAAUCACUUUGCUAGUACAUUAUUGCAUUGAAAUAAUUUUUCGAUGAUGCCAAAAGAGGGAAGAUAAGAGGGUUGUGUAAUGUUUAUAACCCAUUGACUAACUUGUUUCAUUAUAAUGUUUUAUACUUUAGUGCCUACAGGUGAAGAUAUUUGAAUACACAAAGACAAUAGGUUUGUCAUCAUCAAAAAGAGAGAAUUUGUUGGAACCUUAAAGUCUUGAUAAAUGACAAUAUGAAAGAAACAAGUUGAUAUGAGUUAAUUCAGUGCAACUGAAAACUUCAACUUACUGAUCACAUGGGGAAUAGAACAAUUUGAAUUUGAUUCAAACACUUGAUGAUAAGGGAAAGCAAUUUGAGUUGAAAAAAGAGUCCUAAGUAAAGAAGGAGUUUCACUUCUGAGUAUAUCCUGAAGAGUACUAUGUAGAAGGAUAAAGAUUCUACAGAUUGAAGAUGUCUACGCAAGAUAGGAAACAUAUAAAUUAAAGGACUCUUCGUUAAAUCAAUGAAGUUUUUGAUGACUGACACAUGAAUGGAACAUGUUACUUGACCUGGUCCAAGCAUAGGAAGACAGGUUUCAGGUUUUACUAAUAGAUACAGACAAAGAUUGCUAAAAGGCAGGAACGAAUGAGCAAGCCUAAUUCUGAUAUAUUCAAGCUACUAAUCACGUGAGAAAUUGAAGAAGUUGUGGUUGAGUAAAAUACUUGAAGAUAAGUUGAUUUAAAGAGUUGAAGUUUGACUACAACACUAAGGAGACAAGAGUUGGAAUUGAAGAAGGAGUCUCACUUGAAGUAGAACUCUAUGUAAUGAGAGUUUUGAUUAAAGGAGGAGUUUAAAAUAAAGAAUGACUCUUUGGAGAGCUGUGCUUAAAUAGAAGAUGCAUCAUUCAGAGUAAUUCACGCACUUUUAAAAAGCAAAAAAGCACAAUCGACAAAUUGACUUCACGAAGUGCUAUUCAAUUACUGAAGAAACACAUUGAAGCACCAGGUCCUAAGUAAAGAAUCUAGCUAAGAGUUUUAGCUUUGAUUUUUAGAGUUGUUCAUUAUGCUUGAGCUAUUGAUGUAAUAUUAGUUUUAGUGUAUUAUAAACUGAAUUAGGAGAUAGUUUUCGAGUUGGGAAAAACUCAGAGACUUUGGGAACGCAUACCUUGGGAGGCGUGUGUGUAGUUAGGAAUUAGAGUUUAUAAUUCCUAGUCAUUGAGUUAAAGGAAUUAGAGUUUAUAAUUCCUAGUUGUUGAGAUAUAGGGAUCAGAGUUUAUGAUUCCUAUUUGUUGGUUACAGGAGUUUUGUAAUCAGUCGUUGUUGAGGCUCAGAGUUAUUUAGUGAAGUUGGAGUUAAAUCUUGUAAAGGUGCAGGUCGUGGUUUUUUUACACCUUUUAAGCCGGGUGUUUUCCACGUAAAAAUCAUUGUGUUCUUUACUUUCUGUUUUACUGCUUCCUUGAAACACGUCAAUGGAACACGUCAGGUAACCCGUUCCAUCGAUAAGCAACAAUUAGGCAAAAAUAAGAUAUUCAGUAAGGCACGAACUCUAACACAAGCAGCCAUACAUAUAGCUAGGAACCAUGUGUUCCAUGAAAGGACCAAACACAUUGAAGUCGACUGUCAUUUUGUUAGGGAAAAGCUACAUGAAGCACUCAUUCAACUUUAACAUAUUUCAUCUACUGAUCUUACUAAGGCCCUCUUCGGUCCCAAACAUCAUUCCGUUCUUGGCAAUUUGUCAGUGCAUUCCCACCUCCAACUUGAGGGUGGGUGUUGAGAUUAUCAAAUUUAAUUAUGCUAUUAGUUUAGUUAGUAUAGUUUGGUGUUAGCGUUGUUACCUGUACAACUAACCGAUUAGUUUCUUGUUAUUAGAGUAGUUAUGCUGACUAGGCAGUUGGUUAUGCCUUGUUGCAAUCUGUAGACAGCUGACAUUUUAUUUUUCUUACUUGUAUAUAUAGAUUGCUCCUACAUGAAUAAAAUCAGUUUUUGGUUUCUCACUUUAACCUCUCAAAUAUCUUCUCUAGAGCUCAAACUGCUCCAUUGAUGGAGUUUAUGAUCUGCUUCCAUUGAAGCUUCUUCAAUUUUAACAAACUAUUUGUGAGAAAAAUGUCUACUAGAUACCCAUUUAUUAUUGAUUGAUGUGUCUAAUAGAAAAUAAGGUUGGUUUGAAUUAUUUAGACGAAAUCAAAAUUUUUACUAAGAGAGUUUAAAUUUGAAGAAAAAUUAAUUGAAGGGAAUUCAAAUCUAUUAUAUGUACAUAAAAAGUUAUUUUAUUCAUUUAUAAAUAAUAUAAUUUUUUAUGAUAAGGGAUCCGUAUGAACCCAUGUCAAAGGUUUGCUUUGACAUGCGUCGAGAUGUCCAAGUGAAUUUUCUGGGAAAUUUUUUUUCGGCAUAGUGAUGACGUGGUCACAAAAGAGCCAAUAGGUUUUUACCCACUAGUACCAAUAAUGUAUUCAACCUUUCAUUUCAACUGUAUUACAAUGAGUACUUUAGCAAGGAAAAAGUGGUGAAAUGUACUACCUCACAAAUAAAAUGAACUAGCAAGUUAGUCGCCAAUUAAUACUGUUCCGCAAGUUACACGUUUGGUGGAUCUGUGGAAAAUGUUACUGCGCAUUUACUUUGUUAGGUGGACACGUUAUACCAUUUGUCCUGAUACCUAAUUUUCUAACAUGGAUACCCCUUUAAAUAUAUGUCUAGUACACAUGUUCUUGAUUAUAAAGUUCCAGUUUUUAGUUAACUUUGCAUUUUUUUUUUUAAGUAUGGAUUAUUAUUAUUAUGCCACUCCUCUGGCUCUCUUGCUUGCCUGGACUUUGGUCCAAGGCUUCAAUUUAAUACUAUCAUUAAGAACAAAUAGGAGGAGGAGAAAGCUUCCUCCAGGACCCUUGCCAUUACCCGUAAUCGGAAACCUUCACUUGCUAGGCAAUCAACCCCAUAGAUCCCUUGCAAAACUUGCUGAUUUUCAUGGCCCAAUUAUGCGUCUGAAGCUGGGACAAACAACCGCUGUGGUCAUUUCUUCUUCAGACAUGGCCAAACAAGUGCUCCAAAAGCAGGUCUCAGCCUUCUCUAGCAGGUCAAUUCCUGAUUUAGUCCAAGUUGACAAUUUUCACCUGUUCUCCGUAGCUUGGCUUCCCGCAUCCCGGCCUCAAUGGAGAAAUCUCCGCAAAAUCUUGAAUUCCCGCAUCUUCUCCGUCAAUAACCUUGAUGCCAGCCAGCACCUUAGGUAUGUUAACUUAUUGUAUGAUUACGUUAUUUACAAGUUUAAACUGUUAGAGAUGACAUAUUUUUAAUUAUUUGCGGAAUCAUGUUUUCAAUAAGGUUCAAGAAGAUCCAAGAACUUGUAGUUUACUGUCAAAGGAGUAGCGAAAUGGGCGAGGCGGUUGAUAUUGGGGGUGCAAUUUUCAGGACCAUGUUGAAUUUACUUUCCAACACCCUCUUCUCAAAAGACUUGGCGGAUCCAUAUGAAAAUUCGGGUAAAGAAUUUAUGGAAAUGGUGGAGGGAAUAAUGUUGGAGUUGGGUAAACCAAACUUGGUAGAUUACUUUCCGGUGCUAAAAAUAAUAGAUCCUUUAGGGCUGAGGCGAUAUAAUUCUCUUUUCGGGAAACUACUAAAGCUAUUUCAUGGAUUGAUAAAUGAGAGACUGGAGCUAAGGAAGUCCCAAAAUGUUCAAAAAACUGAUGUUUUAGAAGCCUUAAUCACAGCCAGUGAACAUGAUCCCCAAGAGAUUGAUCGCAUGCAUAUAGCAACAAUAUGUUUGGUGAGCUAUCUUUAGUUCUCCUUCUUUAUUUUUAUUUUUUGAAAUUAAGGGUAGGAGAUUAGAUUUCCUAUGUAUGUAUGUAUAUAUGUAUGAUCUUUCAUGGCCACUUACAAAUUGAAUAGAAGAAAAUGAUAAUUCAGAUCUAUUAUGUGUAAACAUGAAGAUCUGUUGUAAACAUAAACUAAAAUAAGUUUGUAAGGGGCUACAAAACCAAAUCUCUCAAUUCGUAAUCGAAAAUACUAAAUUCAAGUGAAACCUUUAAAUAUGCAUGAGUUGGUGAAUUAUCCAUCCGUGGUUUGCAUGAUUAGUUUCUCGAGUAAUUUUCACCUCAAGGUUUUCAGUGUAUUUCAGGACUUAUUUGUUGCCGGAACUGACACAAGUUCGAACGUAAUGGAGUGGGCUAUGGCUGGGCUUCUUAAAGCUCCAGAGAUUAUGAAGAAAGCUCAAGACGAGCUCUCAGAAGUCAUCGGAGAAGGGAAGGCAAUAGAGGAAGAUGACGUAGUCCGACUCCCUUACUUGCAGUGCAUUAUUAAAGAAACUUACAGGCUGCACCCUCCAGCUCCUUUUUUGGUUCCCCGAGAAGCAGGGCAAGAUGUUGAGGUAUGUGGCUACACUGUCCCUAAAGGUUCAAAACUGAUGGUUAAUGCGUGGGUAAUUGGUCGGGACUCAACCCUUUGGGAAGACUCUUUGGUGUUUAAUCCUGAUAGGUUUAAGGAUUCAAAAUUGGAUGUGCGAGGUCAAGAUUUUGAGUUAAUUCCAUUUGGUGCUGGUCGAAGGAUUUGCCCUGGUUUGCCUUUGGCAAUAAGGAUGGUUCCAGUUAUGCUUGGCACACUGUUGAAUACAUUUAACUGGAAAAUUGAGGGUGAUAUUGCUCCAAAAGACUUGGACAUGCAGGAGAAAUUCGGCCUCACCUUGGCCAGACUUCAUCCUCUCCGAGCUGUUCCACUUCCCCUCUGAAAUCCAAAAUUAGAUGGUUUCCUAGAAAAGCCAAUGGAUGAUGAACGUUGUUACUAAUAUUUCAUUUCCAAGAAAAUGAAAAAGAAAUAAAGAAUUUAGCACUCAUAUAAGCACAAAUUAUGUAAUAUUGCAGCUACGGAAAGUUUCUUCCCAGUAAAGAGAUCGGGAAACAGAUGCAUCGGAUUUUACUUGAAGUUCAAAACAUACAAGGCAAUUUGAACAUGUAUUCUUACCUUUCAUAAUUACCUCAUGUUUAAUUAUAGUUGAAACAAUUACCUCUCUUUGUAGCUUGAUCCUUUAAUUUGCGUCGCAUAAUUAUAGACUAUAGUCAGUUCUUCAAAAUUAUAUGAAAAAGGAAGCUAAAUGCUUACUACUGCUUGAUAACUAACAAUAUAUUUGGUGUAAUUCACAAGUUAGCUUUUAGGAGAAUAUUGUUAAUAUAUCCUUAUCUCUACCUUAUGAAGAUAGGUAGAGAGGUUGUUUCCAAAAGACCAUCGACUUAAAGAAAAGCAUAUCAAAUCAGUAAGAAAAGAAAAUACAUUAGUGAAACCAUCAUGUUGAAAAUAAUGAUAAAAGAAUAGUACCAACAAUAAAUAAUACAAUACAUAAGCAAGUGAAACAAGUUGAAAUUGAGGGCGACAUUGCACCAAUAGAUUUGGACAUGCAGGAGAAAUUUGGCCUCACAUUGGCUGCAAACUCUGAAUAUACACUAGAUAACCUCAAACCAAAGGAUGGAUUACUAGAAAAGUCUAUGAAUGAAUACUUGAAUAGCUACUUCAAUGAUCUAUCUAAUAAUAUUUCCUUUAAUGUCCAAACAUAAUGUGUGUAUGCAUGUGCUGGAGGAUGUUCCAGACAGGUUAAUCCAAGAACGAAAUUGACCACGAAUCAAAUCGAGAAAACGUAUACAGAAACGUAUAUCAUAAUUUGUGUGCGGGUACAUCUUAAUUAGAAACGAUAAAAAAUAAUAUUUUAAUAUUAUGCACGCAUCACGCGAGUACAUAUACUAGUUAUGAUGUAAAAAGAAAAUAAAAAAUACAAUAAUUUAACGAAAAAAAUUAAUGAACAAAGAAACAUAUAAGAGAAAAAAGAAGAAAAAAUGAGUACAGACAUAAAAAUAAAAAGAAUUAAAAGUGAGAUAAAUAACUAACGGUACAAAGAAUCGNNNNNNNNNNNNNNNUCGGAAGAGAACCUAACCUUAAUGAAUUGACUAUGAAGGCGCCAGUCAAGUGGUUUGAGGACAUUCGGUCGGUUCCCGUUCGCCUCCCUCUCCUCAUAAUCAAUUAGUGGGUAGGGUGGUCAUGUAAGGGGACAUUUAGUUAUAAAUAAUUUACUCCUAUACUUUCGCCAAAUAUUUUAAAACCCAAGCCCGUUUAGAUUUAACGCAAGUCCUAUAAUUUGUCCUAAAUCUAAGUCUCUCAUAAGUCAGACCUCAGUCUCUCAACGCCUCACUCUCCACUCUCAACUCUCACUGUUUAGUAGAUGUAUUAUGUGCCUACUGCUGAACGCAAGUCCUAUAAUUUGUCCAAGCUAACAUUCACCACUAUAAAUAUAUAUAUGUCUAGUACACAUGUUCUUGAUCAUAAAGCCCCAGUUAUUAGUUAAAUUUGCAUGCAUCUUUUUUGCAACGUUAUUACUAUGAAUUAUUAUUAUACCACACCUCUAGCUCUCUUACUUGCCUGGACUUUGGUCCAAGGCUUCACUUUGUUACUAGCAUUAACAACAAAUAGAAGCAGGAGAAAGCUUCCUCCAGGACCCUCGCCAUUACCCAUUAUUGGGAACCUUCACUUGCUAGGCAAUAAACCCCAUAGAUCCCUUGCAAAACUUGCCAAUUUUCAGGGCCCAAUUAUGGGUCUGAAGUUGGGACAAUUAACAACUGUGAUCAUAUCUUCUUCAGACAUGGCCAAACAUGUUCUCCAAAAGCAAGACUUAGCCUUCUCUAGCAGUAUGUCAAUUCCUGAUACAGUCCUAAUCAACAACUAACACAUGUUCUCGGUUUCUUGGCUUUCCAUUUGCCCUCAAUGGAGAAGUCUCCGAAAAAUCUUAAAUUCCCACAUAUUCUCCGUUAGCAAGCUUGAUGCCACUCAGCACCUUAGGUACGUACGUUUAAGUUGUGUGACCGUAUCAUCUGAAAAUUUAAACAACCGUUUAAAGAUAUCAAGCUUAAUUUGUCUGAUUAAUAGAUAUCUUUUGAUAAUGAAUGAUAGAUGGUAUUACUCGAUCCAGAAUCUUAGCGUGAUCUGAAAUCAUCUUAACUAUGUGAUCACUAGCCUCAUCAAAAUUCUAACACAUUUUUUAAACUACUUACUGAAUCAUGUUUUCAAUAAGGUACAAGAAGAUCGAAGAACUUGUUGUUUACUGUAGAAAGAGUAGCCAAAUGGGCGAGGCGGUUCAUGUUGGUGCUGCAAUUUUCAGGACCAUGUUGAAUUUACUUUCCAACACCCUCUUCUCAAAAGACUUGGCGGAUCCAUAUGAAAAUUCGGGUAAAGAAUUUAUGGAGAUGGUGGAGGGAAUAAUGUUGGAGUCGGGUAAACCAAACUUGGUAGAUUACUUUCCAGUGCUAAAAAUAGUAGAUCCUCUUGGGUUGAGGCGAUAUAAUUCUAGUUUCGGGAAGCUACUAAAGCUACUUGAUGGUUUGAUAAAUGAGAGGGUGGAGUUGAGGAAGUUGAAGGGACAAAAAAGUGAUGUUUUUAGACGCCUUACUCACAGCCAGUGAGCAUAAUCCCCAAGAUAUUGAUCGCAAGCAUAUAGCUUCAAUACUUUUGGUGAGUAAUCUUUAAUACUCCUUAAGAAUAUUCUUGAUAAUUGUUGAUUCUCCCAUAUUGGUUUGGUUGUAAAUGGGUGUUUGGUCGAUCACCUUAUAUGUUCUUGAACAAUACCCCCUCCAUGAUCUACCUUUUGAGGUCUAGAUAGACUUGAGGGACGUUCUUUUUUUUAAUCAUGGCAUAAAGUUAGGCUCAUCUUGGUUCAUUUUUUUCUGGAACCUCUUUCAUUAUUGUUAGAGCAUGAGAAGUUUUGAUGAUAGACAGAUGAAUGAAACAUGUUGUGCAAGCUGGUCCAUACAAGUGAAACUGCUUCGGACAUAUGGAGUGCAUGCUGAAAUCAUUACAUGCUAAAAUUAUUGCAUAAGCUAUCAACACAUGGAUAAGCAAAGGAUGUUCACACGGCUAUAUAAAGAUAAUUGGAGCAGUUAGAGUUUGAGUAGAUCAAGAAAUCUACAAGGCAGAAGGAUAAAGCAAAAGAGUCCUACAGAAGAUACAAGUAAAGAAGAAAAAGGACUGCAUCUAAGGGAGCAUAUAUAGAUGACAAGCUGCAUUUAAAUAGCGAAAAAAGCACUGAUAAGAAAAUCAACAAUCAGCAAAAUCGUUCACCAACUUGAAGAAGAACCUAGUUCUCACUUAGUAUGUUUUAGACUGCUUGUAAUAGGAAGGUUAUUGAGUUGUAAUGAGUAAAUGGUUCUAGUCUCAGUAUUCUAUAAGCUGAUUUAGGAAUCACGUCUUCAAGUUAGGGAACUCGAAGACUUGGGAACACUUAUCUUGGGAAGAUUUGUGUUUUUGUAGUAAUAGGAGUUAGAAGUUUUAAUUCCUUAUUUACAAGAAGUCUUGUAAUUGUGUUGAUUGUUGAGGCUCAAAGUUAUAGUGAAGAUUGGGGUUAAAUCCUGUAGAGGUAUAGGUUGUAGUUUUUUUACACCUUUUUGAGCCGGGUGUUUUUCACAUAAAAAUUACUGUGUUCAGUUUUUACUUCUGUGAACCACGUAUACUUACUUGUUCCACAGAUAGACAAUCAGUAGGGAUCAUACUCUAACAAGUGGUAUCAGAGCCGAUUGUCUUAAAUAGGGUUUGCAUCUAAUAUCAGAUCAUUUUGAUAAAUUCCGCACCUCCUACUGGUCACAGUGAAGGUAAAUCCACUACUAGACCCCCACUCUUUGAUGGUACUCAUUUCAUCUGGUGAAAAUCCAGGAUGGAGAUGUUUAUUCAAGAAAAAGACUAUGAAUUAUGGGAUAGGAUUACUGAAGGUUCUACUAUCCCUAUGAAGACAGAAAAUGGUGUGCAAGUCAAGAAAAUAAGGAGUGGGUUUAGUGCUGAUGAUCUUUUGGCUUUAAAGAAAAAUGCUAAGGCAAAAAAUAUCCUAGUCUGUGGUCUAGGACCUGCUGAAUACAAUAGAAUAUCUACCUGUACCAUUGCUAAGAAAAUAUGGGAUGCCUUAGUAAAUGCCCAUGAAGGUACCUCUCAGGUAAGGAAAUUCAGGAUCUCUCUCCUUUUUACUGAAUAUAAAGCGUUUAUGAUGAAGGAAAAUGAAUCCUUGCAUGAUAUGAUGACAAGACUUACUACUCUAACAAAUGAGUUAACCUCCUUGGGAAAAGUCAUCACUGAAUAAGAACAAGUAGAGAAGGUUCUGAGGGUGCUACCAAAGUCAAAAUGAAAUGUUAAAGCCACUGCAAUUAGGGAAGCAAAUAAGGAUCUCACAGGUAUGACUUUGGAUGAACUAGUAGGGAAUUUAAGAACCUAUGAAAUGGAAGUUGAUGGCAUUAAGGAACAGAAAGCUUUUGAAAAAAUCUUGGCCUUGAAGGCUUCUGAUAGUGAUGAAGAGAUUGAACUGGAUAAGGAACAAAUUGCCUUCAUAACAAAAAAUUUCAGCAACUUUUUUAAGAAGAAGAAAGGAACAGGUAGCAAGAAGCGUUCCAAUGACAAUCCAAACGGAUGUUACAAGUGUGGAAAGACUGAUCAUCAUAUCAGAGAAUGUCCUCUCUGGGAAAUAGAAUGGAGGAAGGAAAGAGUUGAAAAAGAACAAAAGGCCAGGAGGAAGGAAAAGAAAGAACAUGCCAUGAUAGCUACAUGGGGAUCUGACUCUGAUAAUGAUGAUGGAGUUGAUGAGACAACAUUUAUGGCUUUUGGAGACUCAGACACUGAGGAAGAAGAUGAUGCUUCUGAGGUAAGUUUACUUGAACUAAAAUAAAAACUGCAUUUUUUUUAAAACUAAACUUGUUUCCUUGAUGAGUGAUUUAAUUAAAAUUUCCAAGAAUUAACUUCUGAUAGGGAUAAAUUGUUCAACAGUCUUGCAAGUCUUAAAUUUGAUUUCAUUGUCUUGAAAGUUUGCAAGCAAAAUGUUGACAAAGAAAAUUACACUCUCAAGGAACAAAUUACACUGCUUGAAUCCUCAAAUAAUGAUCUUAGGUUUGAAAUUCUUAAAUUGACUCUCACUGGCCAUGGGAAAAAGGCCAUAAGUAAAGAACAAGUAAAUGCUGAACUUGAGUUAACUAAGUACAAACAAGAAUGCUAUGACUUGACUGAAAAGAUGGAUAAGAUGAGUCAAGAGGUAGCAAGAUUAAAAUUAGAUCUAGAAAAGUCAAAUAGAUGGACAAAUUCUUCAAGAAUUGUUCAUCAGCUUGGUAACAGAAAUCACAAUGAAAAAACAGGCUUGGGUUUUUAUAAAGAAGCUGAUAAUCUUCAAGACUUAUGCUAUAUUUUUGGCAAUCUUGGACAUCCUACUACUGAAUGUCCUAUGGCUGCUAAAAGAAGAUUUCAAAGUCUGAACCUGGCAACCAAACUUUCUCAGACCAAGAAAACAAACUCUAAAAUUAGUCUGAGAAAUAAGUCAAUCUACUUGCUUCCUGCUUGGACUAGAAGGAAUUUAAUUCAUCCUUUUACUAACAAAACAGGACCCAAGCUUGUCUGGGUUCUUAAGUAUAACCAUUGACUUCUUGUGUAGGAGAAGGUGAAGGGAACAAAAGGCACUGGUACCUAGAUAGUGCUUGCUCAAUACAUAUGACCGGUGACAAGCAAAAGUUCCUUCCACUCUCCAAAAUAGAUGGUAGGGGAGUCUCUUUUGAAAAUGGAAAAAGGGGAAUCAUAAUUGGAGUUGGAAAAAUUGGCUCAUCUGAGUCAAAAGUUGUGGAGGAUGUUUAUCUUAGGGAAGGACUGAAGCAUAACCUGCUAAGCAUUUCACAAUUAUGUGACAAAGGUAAUAAAGUAAUUUUCACUGCUGCAGGUGUUAAAAGGAUGGACACCAAAGAAAUUAUGCUUACUUCAAGGAGAUACAGAAAUGUAUACAAAGCAGACAUAAUGGCAAUACUUGGACCUGAGUUGAAUUGUCUAAGUACAAUAGAAACUGAUCCCCUCCUUUGGCACAGAAGACUUGGACAUGCAAGUGUGAAACAACUGAACAUACUUUUCUCGAAAGACAUGGUAUUGGAACUACCCAAGACCAAUUUUAAGAAAGAAAAGUUAUGUAGUGCAUGUGUAAGAUGGAAGCAGGUAAAAUCCUCUUUCAAGUCAAAGAUCUAUGUUAGUACUACCAAAUGUCUUGACCUGGUUCAUAUGGACUUGUGUGGACUAAUGAGACAACAAAACAGAGGUGGAAAAAGGUAUAUUUUUGUAAUUGUUGAUGAUUAUUCCAAGUUCACCUGGACUUUGUUUCUAGCCUCUAAAUAAGAUGCCUUUGAUGUCUUUGAAAUCUUUAUUAAGAAAAUAUAAAAGAAACUGGGCACUUCAUUAGUUUCCAUAAGGUCUGACCAUGAAACAGAAUUUGAGAAUGCAAAAUUCUUAGAUUUUUGUUCAUCAAAUGGAAUAGAUCAUAACUUCUCAGCUCCUAGAACUCUGCAACAAAAUGGAGUGGUAGAAAGAAAGAACAGAUACUUGGAAGAUAUGGCUAGAACAAUGAUUCUUAUAGCAAAUGUUGCCAAAAACCUAUGGGCUGAGGCAAUAAGUACUGUAGCAUAUAUCACUAACAGAUGCAUAAUCAGACCCAUGUUCGAAAAGACUCCCUAUGAAUUACUAAAAGGUAAAAAUCCUAACAUUUCUCACUUUAAAACUUUUGGUUGCAAAUGUUUCAUACAUAAUAAUGGUAAGGAUAAUUUGGGAAAAUUUGAUGCCAAAAGUGAUGAGGGAAUCUUUUUAGGUUAUUCACUUCAUAGUAAGUCUUACAGAGUUUUAAACAACAGAACUAACUAUAUUGAAGAAAGCAUGCAUGUGAUUUUUGAUGAGUUUUAUGUUAAGACUAACCUGCAGGAAGAAAGCGACACUGAGGAAUAGGUUACACAACAUGUUCCAUCGAUUGAAGCAGUCAAACUUGGGGGCACUUUCAUAGAGGGAACUGAAGAUGAAGACACAGUGUUAGGGGGAACUCAUCCAUCAACUACUUCACAUCAGAACAUUAGCAGUGAUCCAAGCAUCUCACUAGGCUUGAUCCCAAAAGGAUACAAGUAUCAAGGUCCGCACCCCAUUGAGAAUGUACUUAUUGAUCUCACUUCUGGAAUCACCACAAGAUCUGGAUUGAGAAGUAUGUGUGCAUUCAAGGCANNNNNNNNNNNNNNNNNNNNNNNNNNNNNNNNNNNNNNNNNNNUUGAUUGGAUCAUAGCCAUGCAGGAUGAAUUGAAUCAGUUUGAGAGAAGCAAAGUAUGGCAUUUAGUUCCUCUUCCAAAAGAUAGAUCAGUCAUUGGCACUAAAUGGGUGUACAGAAAUAAAGUUGAUGAGCAUGGAACAACCACAAGAAACAAAGCAAGACUGGUGGUUCAAGGAUACAACUAAGAAGAAGGAAUUAACUUUGAUGAGACUUUUGCUCCUGUAGCAAGACUUGAAGCCAUAAGAUUGCUGGUUGCCUUUGCCUCUUACAUGGAGUUUAUUUUGUACUAGAUGGAUAUGAAGAGUGCAUUCCUAAAUGGCAUUCUCAAAGAAGAGGUUUAUGUGAAGCAAACUCCAGGAUUUGAAAGCAGAGAGUUUCCAGAUCAUGUGUACAAGAUGGAUAAGACUUUGUAUAGGUUGAAACAAGCACCAAGGGCCUGGUAUGAGAGAUUAUCAAAGUUUUUACUGGAGCAUGGACACACCAGAGGUAAAAUUGACAAUACCUUUUUCUUAAAAACUAAUAGAAAGGAUUUGUUAGUUGUGUAGAUGUAUGUGGAUGACAUUAUUUUUGGCUCAACCAAGAUGAAUAUGACUCAUGACUUUGCUAAAAUCAUGAGUUGUGAGUUUGAAAUGAGCAUGAUGGGGGAGUUAAAUUACUUCCUGGGUCUUCAAAUAAGACAGUCAACAUCAGGAACAAUGAUCCAUCAACAAAAGUAUGUCAAAGAGCUUCUCAAAAAAUUCUCCAUGGAGGAAAUUAAAGAAAUAAGUACUCCCAUUGCCACUGCCACAAAACUUGAUCUGAAUGAAAUAGGUUCUGAUGUAGAACAAAAACUAUAUAGAGGUAUGAUAAGGUCCUUAUUGUAUCUCACAGCAAGCAGACCUGACAUUGUGUUUAGUGUAGGACUAUGUGCAAGGUUUCAAGUUAAUCCAAAAGAAUCCCAUCUGAAGUCUGUAAAAAGAAUCUUCAGAUAUUUGAAAGGAACUAGUGAUCUUGGGUUGUGGUAUCCCAAAGGUAGUAACUUUAAUUUGGCAGGAUACUCUGAUGCUGAUUAUACAGGAUAUUUGGUGGACAGGAAAAACACUAUAGGUAUGGCACACUUCUUAGGAUCAUGUUUGAUUACCUAGUCCACAAAGAAGCAAAAUUCAGUAGCUUUGUCUACUGCUGAGGCUGAAUACAUUGCUGCUGGGUUAUGUUGUGCUCAAUUGUUAUGGAUCAAACAACAACUUCUGGAUUUUAGGGUAGAUGUAGGUUGUGUUCCCAUCUUUUGUGAUAACACUAGUGCUAUAACAUAGCCAAAAAUCCUGUCCAACAUAAAAGAACUAAGCAUAUUGAUAUUCGUCAUCACUUCCUUUGAGACAAUGUUGAAAAAGGAAAUAUAUCAAUUAUGUUUUGUUCAACUGAGGAACAAAUUAUUGAUAUAUUCACUAAGGCUUUGAGUAGGGAACACUUUGAAAAAAAUAGGUUAGCAUUGGGGAUGAUGAAAAUUGUAUAAAUCUCCUUCAAUGAUUGACUAGAAUAUGCUAUGCUUGAGUGAUUGUUGAUUAAUUCAGUCUUACACAUUUAGUUGUGUGUCCUAAUUCCAAGAUUUAAAGCAAUGUGAUAUAUCUAUGUGUUGUUUUUUUGGAUAGAUGGAUCAUCAAGGCAAGAGUGGUCAUGGACUAAUCAAACACAGGUAUGAUUAUUGUUUUUCAUAGUAGCAUUAAGAGAAACAGGCCAUCUACAAGGUUCUUUCUAUAAUGAUUAAAACCGCCCAAACCCAACAGUCAUCUUCUUCAAAAGGCUGCCAGACCUUUCCUAUCCGUACUGAACCUCUACAUCAGCACGUUUCUCCAAAAUCACAGUCCCUUUAUCUUUCAAAUUCCUUCUUACUCUUCUUAAAUACGCCUCUUGUUUUCUCUCCUAUCUCCACUUCUCCUUCAACCUCUAAAUAUUCACCAUACUAUGGCGUCUUCCUCCUUUUUUUUUCCACAAAAUCUGACAUUAAUCCUUCUACACAACUUAUUCUCCACCCAAACAUCAAUUUACCCUCACUUAUCCAACCCCAAAUCCUUCUCAACCAUCUGAUUUCCCAUUCUUCAAGACCUUACCACACCCUUUCUCUCACUCUUUUUUCAAACCCUUACUCUUUCCAGAACCCUUACCACUAUCAAUAGCUCCUUUUUAAAUCCUUGAUCGAGAUGACAUUCCAAUUGCCAACCUUAUUCCUAGACGGUCAAGAUCGAAUCUGAAAUAAAAACCCUCAUUUAUCUCCAUUAUUAUCGAUGAUGAUACUCUUGAACACUCUUCUCCCGUCAUCCCUUUAUCUUGAACUCCACAUACUCGAAAAAGGAAACAACAGAAGAUGCUUGUUUGGAAGAGUCACUUAGGGAAAGUAAAAAGAAAUGAGUCGUGCCUAAUGCUUCUCCUUCCCCAUGUGAUUCCUCUCCUGACAUUCUCAUUCGCUCUAAGAUAAAGCUGAAGCAGAAGCAUACCAUAGCUAAAACGUCAAAACCAUAUCUCUCUCGUAAAAUGUCCCCUUCUCCCACUCCCAAAGCCUCUUCAUCUUCAAAAUCCACUGUUAAAGCCUCUACUGACAAAGUCUCUACUGGAAAAGCCUCUACUCCUUCUAAAGAUUCUCCAAAAUUUGUGUUACUUUCGAAGAAAUAGGUCCCUAAACCUGUUCCUUCUGUCUCAUCUGCCUUAGAUUCAGACUAUCUUUCUGACACUUCUUUUGUGCUUCCUGAUGAUUCUGAUGUUAAUACUAAUAUUGAUACUUCUGCUAAUUAAGCUUCUCAGUCAGACUAUGUUCUGUAUUUUCAGAAAUAAAAGAUGGUUAGAGAUAGGGUUGUCACUGGUUUUGAGGGUCUUGAUAUGGAAACUUUGGUAUCCAAAUUGAGGUCUCAAGGGUGGUCAUCCUUUCUUCUGCAUGGUAAUCAUCAAAGAAGGUUUGGAAAAGAUAAAGUGUAUGAAUUUUAUACACAUGGAGUUGCGGUUGGGGAGAUGAUCUCAACCUCUGUUCAUGGAAAAUUCAUCAAUAUUUAUCCUGCUGAUUUGGGUAGAAUUCUAAAUAUUUCUACUGGAGGUUAGGCUCACUAUGUGAAAGAAUCUUGGCCUUCUCUUGACAAUCUUCCAUCCGCCCCUGAUAUCUGCAGAAAAUUUUCUAGAAAUCCUCUCCUUCCUUCACAUCGUAAGGUGAUGAAGAAUGAAAUGUCUUCUUUCUAUCAGUUGUAUUUUGAUGUGAUCCACAAAAUAAUCUUACCCAGGCAGGAGAGGCGCACAGUUGCAAGCUUUCUUGAUCUUACCUUAAUAGAACUAUUAGAUUCUGAGAUUCCAAUAGCCCUUCCCCAACUCAUUAUUAUGCAAAGGGUACUCAUCAAAGAUAAGAAUGUUUAUGCUCUGCCCUAUCAGUUCUGGCUUGCCCCUGUGUUUGAUGAUUUUUGUGUCUCUGUCAAGGUAUGGUCCUUACAGACAACUAAGGAUGUGAUUGGACAAGUGAACCAUGCUAUGUUACCUGCUGUUAUGAGACAUGCAGACAACCCUAUGCAGAAGUUGUGAAAUGCCUUAGAGGCAAAGCAGGGUAAGCUAAAGGUUGCACAGGCUGCAUUGGAGGCUACCCAGGCUAUUUAUGAAGAUUAAAAGAGGGCUCUUGAAGCUCAAAUUGCUUCCUCCACAGCCACUUUGGAGAAGGAAAAAACUGAAAAUGCUGCUAUCAUUCGAUUGCUGACCUCUUUUAUCCCCUCUACCUCCUUAAAAUAAACUCCUCCUUCGUUCCUUAGUUUUUUUCUUUCUUCUUUGCUGCUUCUUGGUCCAACUUGUUUCACUUUUUGGUCUUACUGGAUAAUGAAAAUUGUAUCUAUUUUUGUGCAUGAAAUAGACCUCUUUUGCCUCACUUGAUCUACUUCUGUUUAAUUCAAUGCUUAGUUAUCUCUUGCUCUGACUCUUGCUUGUUUUAGUGAUAGCCCCAGUGGCUAUGGAUUAUUAAACAGUUUUUCACUUAUUGGCUCAGCUUUUUGAUGAUGUCAAAAGGGGGAAGUAUAGAUUAUACAAUGCUUAUAACUCAACUGAUCUAACCUGUUUCAUUCUACUCCUUUUAUUGAAUUUCUUAUUGAGUAUGUUAGGUUCUUGGUAAUACUGUGCUGAUAAGUUUGUCAUCAUCAAAAAGGGGGAAUUUGUUAGGGCAUGAGAAGUUUUGAUGAUAGACAGAUGAAUGAAAUAUGUUGUGCAAGUUGGUUCAUACAAGUGAAACUACUUCGGACAUAUGGAGUGCAUGCUGAAAUCAUUACAUGCUAAAAUUAUUACAUAAGCUGUCAACACAUGGAUAAGCAAAGGAUGUUCACACAGCUAUAUGAAGAUAAUUGGAGCAUUUAGAGUUUGAGUAGAUCAAGAAAUCUACAAGGCAGAAGGAUAAAGCAAAAGAGUCCUACAGAAGAUACAAGUAAAGAAGAAAAAGGACUGCAUCUGAGAGAGCAUAUAUAAACGACAAGCUGCAUUUAAAUAAUGACAAAAACACUGAUAGAAAAAUCAACAAUCAGCAAAAUAGUUCACCAACUUGAAGAAGAACCUAGUUCUCACUUAGUAUGUUUUAGACUGCUUGUAAUAGAAAGGUUCUUGAGUUGUAAUGAGUAAAUUGUUAUAGUCUCAGUAUUCUAUAAGCUGAGUUAGGAAUCACGUCUUCAAGUUAGGGAACUCGAAGACUUGGGAACACUUAUCUUGGGAAGAUUUGUAUUUUUGUAGUAAUAGGAGUUAGAAGUUUUAAUUCAUUGUUUACAAGAAGUCUUGUAAUUGUGUUGAUUGUUGAGGCUCAAAGUUAUAGUGAAGAUUGGGGUUAAAUCCUGUAGAGGUACAAGUCAUGAUUUUUUACACCUUUUUGAGCCGGGUGUUUUUCACGUAAAAAUUACUGUGUUCAGUUUUUACUUCUGUGAACCACGUAUACUUGUUCCACAGCUAGGCAAUCAGUAGGGAUCAUACUCUAACAAUUAUCAAUCUCUAAUCCUCAUUGCCUUUUUCUUUUGGAAGGUAUGGCAGACAAUUUGAUGAGUUUAGCCUUUUAAUGUUUGAAGCAUUAAUUGAACAUAUUGUACUUUGAAAUUAUGAAUUCAAAAUUUAAAAGUAUUUCUAUAGAUUCUUAGUUUGAUCUUCCUUAGUGGUCCUUGCUUGGUUGAAAAAAGCAAAGCGAAGCUAAUUUCUCGUAAUUGCUUGCCCCAAAAUAUUAGUAUGUGCUUUUUCAAGUAUAAAUCUGUUGUGCAAAAAUAUUUGAUCCAAUUGAACGGAUAAUAUUAAAAGUAACAUGCGUCGGAGAAUUAUUCCUAAGUGGUUUCCGUGAGUUAUUUUUUCACCUCAAAGUUGUUGGUGUAUCUCAGGAACUUUUCAUUGCUGGGACUGAUACAAGUUUGAACACAGUGGAAUGGGCUAUGGCUGAGAUUCUUAAAGCUCCAGAGAUUAUAACGAGAGUCCAAGCCGAGCUCGGAGAAGUCAUCAGAUAAGGCAACCCAAUGGAGGAAGCUGACAUUGCCCGACUGCCUUACUUACAGUGCAUUAUUAAAGAAACUUUCAGGAUGCACCCUACAGGUCCUUU
rnacentral:lncRNA from 1 species